rnacentral:lncRNA from 1 species
AGGAUUGAAUAUAUUAUUAUGUAUUCUUAUCUUGGGCACCACAUAUUCUUGGCCUCCAAGAAUAUUAGUCCUUUAAAAGGAAUCGGCUCUCUCUUUCAAUACAAGAUACAUUUCAUUUAUCUAUUAUCUCUUUCCUUUCCUUGUUAACAGCUUUUCUCGGCCUCCAUUCUCAACUUUCACAAAUCUCAAAAUUUAAUAUCCAGAAAAUGAAUUAUUUUUUUUUAUUUUAUUUUUUGGUUAGGUUAAAAUAUAUAUAUAUAUAUAUAUAUAUAUAUGGAGGGAAUUGGUAUGCAGUGAGGAAAGCAAAACAGUGCUCCAAAGAUGGUAGUACAUAACAAUCCUCUAAGAAGUGGGAACAGUCUCUACUUCUUUAGGCCCAAGUAGCUGAGUUUUUUAGUUAUGUUCUGCUAUAUAUAUAUAUAUAUAUAUAUAUAUAUAUAGGUCUCCAUCCACAGCAACCGGUUGUUGGGAGCAACCCCUUUUGGCNNNNNNNNNNNNNNNNNNNNNNNNNNNNNNNNNNNNNNNNNNNNNNNNNNNNNNNNNNNNNNNNNNNNNNNNNNNNNNNNNNNNNNNNNNNNNNNNNNNNNNNNNNNNNNNNNNNNNNNNNNNNNNNNNNNNNNNNNNNNNNNNNNNNNNNNNNNNNNNNNNNNNNNNNNNNNNNNNNNNNNNNNNNNNNNNNNNNNNNNNNNNNNNNNNNNNNNNNNNNNNNNNNNNNNNNNNNNNNNNNNNNAGUUCCAUAAAAUAUUAAAAAAAAUUUAGUUGUUUUAAAUUUUUUUAUAAGCCGGUAGAGCUUGUAGCGGCUGGCCAAAAUGGGUUGCUCCCCAACAACCGGUUGCUGUGGAUGGAGACCCUAUAUAUAUAUAUAUGUGUGUGUGUGUGUGUGUGUGGUAGCUGGUAGUACAUAACAAUCCUCCAAAUGCAGUACAAGAUUUGUAUUCCCUUCAUUAUUGAAAUCAAAAUCCCUUCCCUUGUUGCUUUGUUUUUCUUCAGUAGCAGAGAAAAACUCCCUGCCUUAUUGUUCAUUUUUUUAAUCUCUAAUUUAGCCUAUAAAUAUUUGUCUGUGUUGCUUUGUAAUCUGCAGAUCUUACCCCCAACACAUUUUAUAUGCAAUUUUUUUAUUUUUUUGAUGUGAUUAUGAAUUUAUUUUUUUAAAAUAAAAUCUGGUUGAAUCAAGCGAGGUGAUGAUAAAAUUCAUUAUUCUGUCGAUCAAAUGAUCAUAUUUUGAUGAGAAUUCGUUCGCCGUUCUGAUCGCUUCAAACAUUUCUACUUAAUUUUAUUAUUAUUUUUUUUGAUUUAUUAUAUAUAUAUUACGUUUUUUUUUUGUUUCAAUUUUAAAUUUUGUUUAUAUUAGAAAGGGGAGCAGGUGAUGAAUCCUUAUUAACAAUGAUAAUUGAAUAUUUCAAUUAGCAAUGAUAAUAAUGUGGGACAUACCAGGUGUAUAAUAUUUCAAUUAUUUUAGUUGUCAAUUGUUGUUAUUAUCUAAAAGACGUGGGUACAAUAUGUUGUGAUGAGUGACUAAUAUACCCAUGAAUUAAUUAUUUUUUAAUUUAAUAUAUUGUUAGUUUUUAAAUUAUUUAGGAUAUUUCGCUUGUUUUUGUUUUAUUUUGCAGAAGGCAGUAUGUGCAGAACGGUAAUUUCUGGCAAAAAGGAGGGGCAUAAUUGUAUUUUUGAAAAAGACACCAGCGCCGGGGCACUACUUCAAGAGUAAAACCAAGCGUUGGGGUCAAGGCCGUCGGGGCUUUGGGGUCAAGGCUCGAUGGUCAAUUGAGAUUUUGGACCCGAAUUUCCUUUCUUUUUAGAACUCACAAACACAACAAAUUUUUCACAUGAUUUUUGAUUUGGGAUUUUGACUAUAGAAUGCUUAGAUGUAAAUUAAAAUAAAUAAAUAAAACUAUUGGUUUAACGAUCUUAAAAAUUGAAAAAAAAAAAGAAGUAAACUUUUAAACACCGGUAGUGAAAUAAGACGCAGAUGUCUUAAUUUGGGAAACUUUAUGAUUUUGUAAUUUGGCCUUCAUUCCUUGCAAUCUUGACAUAAAUUAAUUUCACGGUACCCACUAAAUCCGUGCCUUGCACAUGUUAAUGGCUAGUUAUAUUAAAUAAUAAACGAACGUCCACAAGUUCAACAUCGAAUUUUCAUUUUGUCCUUUUACGUGAGCAGACAUAGAGCAUAAUAAAAAAUUAAAAUACUCAAUAUUGUUGACAAGUAUUUAUUUGCUAUCAUUUUCAACCGAAGCAAUUAUCUCAUCAUCAUCUCAAAAGAUAUUAUUUUGAGCACUUCAAGGAGCUCAAGAUGGCUGACAACCAAAGGUAGGAACACAUUUCUCAACUUGUUGUAUCCAAAAAUGCUUUGAGUCGUGAGGUUGGGAUAAAACCGCACCGACAAGACCACACCGAACUGAUAGCGAUUUAAGAUUUUUCUAUACUAAAAUCACAUUGAUUUGCAUCGGUCAAAAAUUAAUAAUAUUUUGACUUGAUUUUAAUUAAAUUAGUUUAAUAUUUUUACAACUCACAUUAUAAUAGUAUUCAUUUAAAUAACUCAAGAAAUAUAAACAAAGUACCAUAUGAAUAUAUGUUCAAUAAAAAUAAGAUAACAUUGUUAUAAUUUUUAACACUAUUAUAGUUUUAAUGUAUAUCAACUAUAGGGAACCCUUCUCUAGCGAGCUGGUUCGUCAGCGAAUCGGCUAUAGCGACGGUUGAUGUGUUAAAAUUAUGUACUGCAAGUGCACAGUGUCGAAUUGAAAAACUGGCAAGUACAGGUCAAACCCACAUAGACUAGAUUAAUUUUAAUAUUUUCUUAAUAUCUAUUUUAGGCGAAUUAGAAAUAAAGAUUGAGGAUUAAUUUACUAAAAUAUGAAAACUAAUAAUGAGAAAACAAUCUAGGAAUCCAAAUCCACUAAAUAAUAAACAUAACAUAUAAUUCAAUCUCUUCUAUUUUUAUAACUCAACUAUGAUUUUGAUCUCUCUUCCCUUUAAUUUAAUAAUUUACAAUUAACGUGAGCAAGCAUAGACUAUGAAAAUAUAAGGAUUAAUUAUAACCCAUCAAAACUUCUUCGAGCAAGCAUAGAUUAUAAAAAAUUCAUAUAUUAACACUAAUCUAUCAAAAUCUCUUAAUUAAUUUAAAAUCACAUAAGAACUAUAAAAUGAAGGUAUUUCAAUAACAAAACAUGAAGGCAAAAUCAAUUAAAGAUAAAAGCAUAAAUAAUAGAAGAGAUGAAAAAUAUUAUCAUGAAUAAUUAUUUAAUUUCAUCUUCAUCCUAGAUGAAAGAAAUUAGCUAGACAUGAAAAAUAAUUAAACAAACUAAAAUAAAGAAAAGAAGAUGAUUAAAAAUAAAUAAGAAAACUCAAUUUAAUUAACGAUCAUCCAACAAACGUACAAUGAAGAAGUAAUUUAAUCUACUCCACCUCUUAACCAGAGCCGGCCCUGGGCAAGGGCCAACAAGGCAACCACCCAGGGCCCACAGUUGAGGGGGGCCCCAAAUUCUUUUAUUAGCUUAUGUAUUUAUGUGUAUAAAAAAAAUAAAAUAAUAAAAAGAUUAGCGAUAUUAAGCAUUAAAAAUGAUAUGUUAGAAACCAUUAAAUAUGAUAAUAUAAUUGAUGAUUUUGCAUCUAAAAGUGCAACAAAAAGACAUUUUAAAUGAUGUUUUGUGGUUUAGAUUUCAUUGGGCAAAACUAAAGAAAUACCCACUGUAGUUGGUAAGUUUUAAUGAUUACACCAUUAAACUUUUAAUUUUUCAAAUUACACUACUAAACUAAUUAUUAUUUUGAAAUUGGGUCACUACGUUAAAAAAAAAUAAACGGACGUUAAUUUUUUAUCUAUAAAAUUAAUGAAUUACUAAUUGUAGUUGGCACAUUUUACUGAUUACACCAUUGAACUUUUAAUUUUUCAAAUUACCCCAUAACUAAUUAAAAAUAAUUAUUUUAAAUAUUUUUAAAAAUAAUUAUUAUUUUAAGUAAAAAAUAUUAGAAACUUUUUUUCCUUCAUAAAAUCAGUAGUUUCAUAAAAUAUAGAUUCAAAAAAAUUAAAUUGAUUUUAAAUUAAAUUAAUGUCUACUUAAUUUUUUAACAUAAUGACCCAUUCUUAAUAUUAGAAUUUUUUUUUAAAAAACUAAAAACUAGAAAUUUAAAUAAAAAAAAACAGUAAAAGAUAAAUAAAAAAAAUGAUUCAAUUUUUUUAAAAAAGAAAUUAAUAAUUUGUAUAAAUAAAUAUUAUUUUCAAGAAAUUUUUUUUGGAAAAUUUCUUCAUAUUUUAAAAAAAUGAGUAAAAUUUUAUAAAAUAUAGAUUCAAAAAAAUAAACUUUAUUUUCAAAAGGAAAAAAAAAGUUUUUUUUUUAAAAUCAGUAAGUUUUCAUAAAACUUUAAUUUUUUAAAUCUAUAUUUUAUGAAACUUUACUCAUUUUAUGGAAAAAAAAUUAAAGUUUCUAAUAUUUUUUACUGAAAAUAAUAAUUAUUUUUAAAAAUAAAAUAAUCAUUUUAAAUUAGUUUAAUGGGGUAAUCUAAAAAAUUAAAAGUUCAAUAGUGUAAUCAGUAAAACGUGACAACUACAGUGGGUAAUUCAUUAGUUUUGUAAAUAAAAAAUUAGCAUCCGUUUAUUUUUUUAACGGAAUAACCCAAUUUUAAAAUAAUAAUUAGUUUAGUGGGGUAAUUUAAAAAAUUAGAAGUUCAAUUGUGUAAUCAGUAUAACUUGCCAACUACAAUGGGUAUUUCAUUAGUUUUACCGAUUUCAUUGAUAUUUUUAUUUUGUAGGUAUAUGUGAUGAUUCUUUGCUUCGAUGACAUUUUAAAGUGUUCUUCCUUAUCUUUUGUAAAUUCUUAUAAUUUUAAUAAAAAUAAUUAGUUGAUAAUUUAUUUAUUUUUUAUUUAAUUUGUAUAAAGGGGCACACUUGAGAUUAUUUGCCCUGGGCCUUAGAAAACCCAUGACCGACUCUGUUCUUAACCUAAACUAAUACAAUACCUAAUGCUUCAUCCUCUCUAAAUCAAGAGACCUAUUUAUAGGAAAAAUAACUUUGAACCCUAAUUUUGAUUCAUUGAACUUGGACACUUUUGUUUUCUGUCCAUAUAGGUUUCAACUUCCUAGUGGCAAUCAAUUUCUCAAAAAGAUAUUCUAGAUAGACUUUCAUUUCUUUUGUUGGAUUUGACUUGCACACCAAGAUUGUCCCACCUCUUUCCUUCUCCUUGUAGGAUUCAUCUUGGAUAUUCCUUACAUGAAUAAGAGCAUUAAAUAUCGUUUGAUCACCAAGAUUUUGACUUUAUUACAACAAAUAUUAAAUCCUACAAAAUAAAAUAAAAUAUAUUAAUUUAAUAAACUGAUAUAAUUAAAAGAAAAAAAUUAGGGAUAAUAAAAUGUAUGAAUUACGUGUCUAUCAACGGUUCAAUCCGUCACUAUAGUAUAAAAAGUCGACGCCACGGCUAUGGCGACAGUUCGUACCGUCACUACUAUAGCUCAGAAAAUCAGUUUUUCUAUGAUUUAGCGACGGAUGAACCGUCGCUAUAGCCAAUUUGUCUUUGGUUCGUCUUUUCCGGUUCAUUGGAGAAAUUUUCCUUCAACUAUAUAUAAAAAUAUUUAUAAAUUAACUGUUGUUAUACAAAAGUAAAAAAUAAUAAAAAUAUACGUUUGUGUAACUCAGUAACUCUAUGACUAUAUAUAAUUCUAUAGAAAAAUAAUAAUAUUAGGAAUUAUAUAGAUAUAAUUAAAAAAACAUAUACAUAUAUAUAUAGCGAUUCAAUAGAAGAAAUGCAGUGCACCAGCGGUUCAGAGGCAAAUACUAAAAUCAUACCGCACUGGUCUCGGUUCAAAUUUUUUUGCAGUAAAACCGCACCGACGAGACCAAUGAUCCAAAUAAAAACCGGCCAGUUUGAUGCGGUUCACCCAUUUUUGGAUCGGUUUAUGUUAAAUUGUCAUCAUUACUCUUUGGUUAUGUAAAAAUUACUCCUAGCUUGAGUUGCUCGAAAUGCUUUCAUUUGCUUUUAGUAUUCUUUCAAGUCUAAAUUUGACUUUUUAUAAAAUAAAAAAGUUAUAUAUAUAUAUAUAUAUAUAUAAUAAUAAUUGAUAAAAAUGUAUUUAUUAUGAAUUCUUAUAAAGCAUACAUUAUUUAUACCAUUGAAAACAAAAAAUAGUCAAAAUUAAAAAGUUAAAAAUCGACGUCCGCUACUAUUAAUUAGUUGCGAACGGUAAAAAAAAGUUUAUUAACCAAAAAUAAAUCCUAAACCUUGGUUAAUAAACUUUAAACCUUAGUUAAUAAAUCAUAAAACUUGAUUAAUAAAGCAUAAACUCUAGUUAAUAAACCCUAAAUAUUUAUUGGUAAAACACAGCUCUUAUUUUGAUUAGUAACGAACGUUAAGUGUUUUUUUUACCGUCCGCUACUAUCCGCUACUAAUAGUAGCGGACGUCGAUUUUCGAUUUUUAAUCUUGGUCGUUCAUUUUUGUUUUCAAUGAUAUAGAUGGUAUAUGCCCUAUAAGAAUUCAUAGCAAAUACAUGUUAUUGAUCAUUUUUCUAUAUAUAUAUGUAGCGGCUGGGUAUAAAUUUGUUUCAAUCUCAGCCUUCCAUUUAGUUGAUCUACGGUUUCGAUGUUGGUUGAAUCCCUAUAUAUAUAUAUAGUCCGGAUCUUAAGCUCACCUCUUAUCCAACUCACCCGNNNNNNNNNNNNNNNNNNNNNNNNNNNNNNNNNNNNNNNNNNNNNNNNNNNNNNNNNNNNNNNNNNNNNNNNNNNNNNNNNNNNNNNNNNNNNNNNNNNNAUAUAUAUAUAUAUAUAUAUAUAUAUAUAUAUAUAUAUAUAUAUAUAUAUAUAUGUUCUAAAAAUUGCUAGACGAAUAAGUAGUAGUGGACCUAAUGGUAGAGAAAAUAGUUUUGUGCAAGAAUGAACUAUUUUGCCCUUAUAAAACUCACAUGACAUGCGCAUGUCUUACUAAUUUUGACCAAAGUUGGUUAGAAAGGACGGUUUUGCAAAUAAUUGAGACAUUAGUUAAGACAAUGCAAAAAUUUGAACAUUGACGCUAAUGUUGUAAUUCAAUGAAUACAUGAGGGGAAAGUUUUGCAAUCUGUUUCUAUUCCGGAUCUUGUGCGUUAAAUACUAUUUUUAUUCAGACUUAUUUCUAUUCCGGACUUAUUUCUAUUCCGGACCUUGUUCGUUAAAUACUAUCUCGUUCUUAACUUAUUAAACUUUCAUUGUCAAUACCUUGAUAAACUUCGAUUAUUUUAAAAUUUCUCAAUCUUUUUCUCUCAAUAUCCAUAAUUGCAACCUUUACAUUUCAUCUCAGUUCCAAAAAUCCUUUAUAAUAUGAUUCAUCCCAAUUCUUACCUUUUUAGUAUACAAAAAAAAAAUUAACGUUCAAAACUUAAUUAUUCAUCGAUUCACUCUCCAUUAUGAUUUAGUGACCCAAUGAAUUUUAUCACAACUUGAAUUACCAAAAGGGUCCUUUACACUAAUAUACAACAAUUAGAAAGUAUUUACAAAAAUAAAACAUACACAACAUAAUUACAAAAAUAAAAUAUACACAAUAUUACGUUGCUAAAAUUAGGGAUCAUUAUCUCCCUACAAUUAGGGAUCAUUAUCAUUAUCUCCCUACACAUCAGUUAUCAACUUUCAUAAUUCCAAUUAACCGCACCUAAAUUCAAGCAACUGAACAAAACAUGCAACUUUGAUAUCAGAAAAACAGAUCAACGACGUAUCUACUAGAGAAGACGAAAUCUCUUGUCGCAACGAAACUCUGAGAUCGGAGAAGAACUUAAAAGAUCGACAGCAACUUCAAGAUCUAUAACUAUAAACUUACUGCACUGAUUGUUGAUCAUACUGCACUGAUUGUUGAUUCGUUACAAAUCACCAUGACUGAGGUAUCUGAGUUUCCAAUUUAUAUGCAUAGUGUUACCUCGUGUUUACAACGUAUUCAUCUAUUGGUUACCUUUCUCAAAUUUUUUCGCUCUUUAAGUGGUCACAAAGUCAGAAUAAUUAAUGUUUUGAAUGCAAACUGCAUUUGAAAAUAUGUUUUAUAUUCUGGUUACUAAGUACAUAUAAAUUGGUUACUGUAUAAUGUUUAUUUGCUUGCUUUAUAAUUUUAAAGUUUAUUCUACUGAUGUUUUUUAUAUUAAUGAUUACUUAGUAAAUACAUUGGUUACCUUCUUGCACUGUUGGUUACUGUCUAAUCUGGAUUUGGUUAGUAUAUAAUGUUGACUUGGUUACUGUGUAAAAUUGCAAUGGUUACUGCAUAAUAUUACCCCAGUUCAUGUUCUGGUUACUAACAUUAUGUAGUUUAGUUACCGUCUAACAUUGAGUUGAUUACUUUACAAACCAUAAGCUAAUAGUAACCAAAAACAUACUAAAAGGUUGCUUCAUCUGAUAUACCGGUCGGUGGAAUAUCGCUUAUAAUCUGAAAUUUGAUUGACAAUGUUAUUGUGUAUUAUACAGUUGAAUGAUUGACAAUGUAAAAUGCAUUUGAAAAUAUGUUUUAUAUUCUGGUUACUAAAUAUAUAUAAAUUGGUUACUGUUUUUUAUUGAUUUGGUUGAUGUAUAAUGUUUAUUUGUUUGUUUUAUAAUUUUAAAGUUUAUUCUACUGGUAUUUUUUAUAUUAAUGAUUACUUAUUAAAUACAUUGGUUACCUAGCUUUCUGCAACUGUUGGUUACUGUCUAAUCUGGAUUUGGUUAGUAUAUAAUGCUGACUUGGUUACUUUAUAAAAUUACAAUGGUUACUGCAUAAUAUUACCCCAGUUCAUGUUCUGGUUACUAACAUUAUGUAGUUUGGUUACUGUCUAACAUUAAUUUGGUUACUUUACAGACCAUAAGCUAACAGUAACCAAAAACAUACUAAAAGGUUGGUUACUGUCUAAUAUUUAUUUAGAUACUGUAAGGUGUUUAUUUGGUUACUGUAUAAUAUUAUUGUGUUUUAUAAUUGUUUCUUUUAAUCUGAUUAUAUAUAUUGGUUACUGUAUACUAUUUAAUUGGUUAUUGUAUAAUGUUUAUUUGGUUGCUGAAUAAUAUUAAUGUACACGUGUACUGAUUUUUUUUGCAGUUAUGGAAAUAUUUGAUCCAGUGGCAAUUUGGUAAUUUCAUUCAAGUUUGGAGUAUCGGAUUUUGGCAUUUUCGGAGCCUAAUUUCAUUGGAAACGGGCCAACGAUCAAAAGUCACGAGCUUUGCUCGUGAACUGCAUGGUUUUUUUGGUCAAACUCCAUCAUUUAGGCCUUCAAAAUUGCAUGUAAAAAAUUGGUUCAUGUUCUGGUUACUAAGAUUAUGUACUUUGGUUACUAUCUAAUAUUGAUUUGGUUACUUUACAAUGUUUAUUCAGUUGUCAGACAAUGGAGAUGAUUCCGGUUGUGCUUUAUUUCAAUGGAACAUAAAUAAAAAGUGUGUAAAUAUAUAAUUGUUUACUGCUAGUAACCAUUAACCACAUGGUUGGUAACAUUUUUGAUGGUGUACAGUAACCAAAUUUGUUAUUGAUUAAUAUUUUUGAUUUUUGAUUCCAUCAUGAGUUGUCAAUAUAAAAUAAACAUAUACAUUAAACAAUUGGUAACUGUUCUGAAAUAUUUUUAUGUAAAUUUGGUUACCCAUCUAAAAUAAAAUGGUUACCUCUAUAUUCAUAUUUAGUUACCAACUGAACCACCAACUGGACCAUUUCCAAAUAACCACUACACCAAAAAUGGCCUCUAGUGAAGGACAAAUCCUUCACUAGAGGCCUUAUAUCACUCACAAGUGAUUUAUUGCAAAGAAAUAUUUCUUUUACACGAGUGCUCGUAUUAGACCUCCUCGCAAUUGGGUAUCCUUCGCUAAGUAGUAACUAAAUGUUUUUUGUGAAGGAUAUAUUGUGAAUAACUUUUUUAUUCACAAAUUGUAUUUAGUAAUGGAAUAUUGUUAUUUAGUGAAAGAUUGGUUUCCUUUAUAAAAAAUAUUUUAAGAAGGACUAUUUGAAAUUAGUGAAUAACUUUAUUCCCUCACAAAUAAUAUAUUGUGAAGAACAAAUUUAUUUAACGAGAGAAAAUUUUCCUUCACUAAUUAUAAAUUGAGAAUGUAUCUUCAAAUUAGUGAGGGAAAUAAUCCUUCAUUGAUGACUAAAUAGUUAACUAGAAAAGAUUUAGUGAGGAAAAUAAUCCUUCAUUAAAAUCCAUUUCUUAAGUAAAAUUCUUCACAAAUUAUAAAUUUGUAAAAAAAAAUAAUCGAUAAAUAAUCAAAAUUCAUUGCAAAUUAUACUUAAUUUUCAAAUCACUAAUUUCACAUUUAUUAUUAUUAAUUGCUAUAAUAAAUAUUAAAUUUAAUAUUUCAAGUUAAUAUAAAUGUCAUACCUGUUUCAAACUAAUUGAUAAACUAAUGCAUAAAGAGCCAAUAAUUAAAACUAACAUUCCAUAUAUAAAUAGAUAAUGCUCAAUUCACGAUAAGUACAUAAUUUGUUAUUAUAUCUUGAUCUCACAAAGAUCAUAGUAUUUACAAUAUUUAAUAAUUAACACAAGAAAACUGAAAGAAUAACAACUAACUAAAUGGAAUGAAGUGUACAUCAUGUUAGGUCCACUUCAUCAUUAUUUUCUUCAAGGAAAUCAAGGUUGGACCUGUAAAUUUCUUGCUGUAAAAGAAACACCAAAAUUCAAUUUCAAUAAGAUGAGGAAUAAGAAAAAAUAAGCCUGGUGAACUUAAAUCAACAUUAGAUUUGUAAGUUGUAAAUCCACCACUAUGCCAAUAUACAAGUUUAAUAUCAACUUAAUUAACUGGAUGCAUUAAAGCAAUGAGAUAGAAGAAUCAACGAAAAGAAAUCACACAAUCAGUAACUCUAAUCUAUUUGCAUUCCAAAUUAACAAAAGAAAAAAGAGGACAAGGAAGUCGAUAUUAUCCACAGUACAAGGGGUAAAAAACAGAGAAAAGUAUGGGAAAAUGAAAACAAACCCUGCAAGAACAAGAAACAAGGAAGAAGCAGAAAGAAUGAACAAACCAAACUUCUAGAUCUACUUUCUGGUCCUCCUAUCUACAAGAAAUCAGUCUCACCAUCCAUCUGUUGAACUGAAUGAAUCUGCAAACCCUGAUGACCUUGUGGGUAUGCUGGUUUGGGUAUUGUCACUGCUGCCAAUAAGUGAUGAAGAAGAAAAAUCCAUCCCACUCAUUCCCUCGAGCGCUAAGGUAAAAACCCUGUUCAAAAAUAGAUCUUUUACUUUCGAAAAGUAAGUGCUAAGGUAAAUCUUAAAUCAACUAUACAAUUUGAUCAACCAAAUUCAAAAUUCAGAACAUAAUUACAAGUGUAAAAUAGCAGGGUUAUUGACUGCCAAACAUGGUUAGAAAUGCCUAAAACAACAAAGAUAUUGGAAAGAAAAGAAAAUGCACUUCUUCAUAGUUUAUAAAGCAAGAAAUUAAUUAUAAGAAAAAAAAGAUGGUACCUUCACACAUUCCAGUAUGGUUACUUGAUGCCUUUGCACUGCUUGAGAAUCAACUGUAAUAGCUCUCAUCAGCAUGUUCAGAGCAACAUAUCUGGUGAAAAAUUGAGGUUCAGCUCUACAAGUUGGAAGAGAUGAGCCAGUUGCAAAAAGAUAACCAUAACGACGUAUUACGAGUACAUUAAAUCCAUUAAGUAUGGGAAAUUAUGUAAUUCAAAGACUCAAAUCUAUGUGAGGAUAAAAGUGUGACACUGUGAUUACUACGGAGUUCAAGAGAAGACAGGAAAACAAGAUCUAAAUGUCAAUUGAUGCAAAUGUUAUCACCUCAACAAUCAUUUAUGCUGCUAUUAAUAAUUUUACACAUGGCUUAGGCAGACUAGGACAACACUGAGCACAUAGGCUAUCUUGCUAAAUAAUGUCAUAAGGAAAAAAUAAAUCAAUACACACACACACACGUAUGUAUGAAGGUAAAAACAUGGAAGAAAUAAAUAAAAGCAAUAUAUUUAAUCAGAAGUUGGAUACUCAAUUUUGGUAAUGCAGAUGUAAAACCACCCUCAUCAGAGUGAGCAAUUUCGAAUAGUCUAGCCUGGCAGAACACAUAUCAUUGCACAUGAUCUGAAUGAUAAACUACUUAUGUAAAUAGUAAUCAAGUAAAGUUUGAAAAUUUGUAAAUAGUACCAUAUUCUUAUCAAAGCUCAAUAUUGAAGCUACAUUUCCAUAUCGUUUAACAAUAAUUUGGUGCAGACCACACCUGCAUCAGCUAAGAAAAAUAAAUAUAAUAUAUUAAAUAUUUUCAAACAAUUCUAGUGCAAAAGCUGAUGUUAUAAUCUUUAUAACAUUGAAUAGGCAACUCACAGUUACAAGUCUUUAUCUUGAAACAUGUACUUCAGACCUUCUUUCACAAGUUAAUGGGCUCGCCAUAAAAGAUCAAGUUUGUUAAUGUGGUUGAAAUGUAGAUAAAUAAGAAAGAAAAUAUAACAAUUCUUAGUUUGGGAAUCAACCAAAGUAAGAUAUAAUAAUUACUUCUACAUACCUCUGAAGUAACCCUGAAUCCAAAUAGCCACCCAGCACCACGAGGACUGACUGCCCACGUUUCAAUUUCCUCAGGAUCACUCCACAUGAGGUCCCUUCAUGUGGAAUUUCACAAUUUCUCUCAACGACUUUAAUCUGUAAAGUGAAAACAAUGGAAGAAAUAAAAUAUAAUUUCUCAGAUUUCACAUCAACACUUCAGCUAAAAAAACACAACAGAUUACACUAGAAAAUAACAGACAAGAAUUGUGUAAUAUACUUAAAAAUAAAAUCACAAAAGAGUAUGGCAUCAUGAAAAAAGAAGGGUUAUUACAAAACAAGCCAACAGAUAAAAGCCUGUGUAGCAAUACAACUUCCCAGCAACCUUCAUAUACAGGUUCCAUUUUCCCUUUUCUCAUUUUCUCCCUUCUUCCUUGAAGAUGAAUUUUAAGGUUCCAUUUACUCGUAGUCAUCAAACAGGCCAAUACUUUAAAGGGAGAAAGGGCCGAAAAUUUUGAAUUAUUGGUUAACUGGCUCAACGCCAUAGGGAUAUCGAUUUCACUUCGUGUUAAGAGAUAUAUAGCAAAAGUAUGUCCUAACCACUCUAGAGAGUUCAACAUAUGUUAAGAGCAAGAGACAGACUAACAUAACCAGUUAUAAUAAUAAAUCAAACCUGGUCUAUAGUUCUAAUGUCGGGAGAAAGUCCACCAUGGACACAUAUUACCUAGAUUUCAAAGAGGUGGCAUAUCAGUUUAACAUAUGAAUACACAAAUACAUUUAUAUCAUGUGAGAGAGAAUGCAUAUUGUUCCAUCUAUAAUUGCAGAGAGAGUUAGGUAGUCAAAAACAUCUGUGCAAUACCGUCAAGCAUUAGCAUUUCCAUACUUUCUUUGACAUUCAUCAUAGAAUCCAUGAACUAAGAAAAAAAGUAAUUGUAAUUAAAAAUUUGCAAAUCAGGAAUUCAAACAUACAAGGUGCUUUAUGCAUCACAAGCAUGUAUUUCAUCAUAACAAUGAGGCGAAUGCACUAAGAAACCUCAUAUUACCUUUCUAGAAACUCAUAAUAAAGUUAUAAAUGAUAAACCAGGGGGAAUCAAAGAAAUGCAAUUCAAAUGACAACCUACCGGCCGUGAGACCUGGGCCUGUGGUUUCCUAAAUCAAAGAAUAGUGGCCAAGAUAAACAUGGAUAAUAUUAGCAUUACACAAUCUUUUGAUAGUUCAGAACUGCAAAGUGAGCUUCGAAAAUUGGCAACCUAUAACCAAAAAGCUCAAAAUGAGGCACAGUACCUGUUCAACUUUUCAAAGGAUGGAUAUGAGCUCUAUCAGACUGGUACCCGACUAAAAAAUGGAUCAAUUGUCAUAAACAGACAGGACAAUAAGACCAUAAGAGAAGGGCAUGAUCCCAAGUUUUGCAAGUAGAGCAGCCUCAGAGGAACUGACAACAAACUACGAUAAAUAUAACCAUAUAAUUGAUGAUGUUUAAUAACACAAGUAUUGUGAGUUCCUCUCUGCUCAUCAUUAGCUUUUAGAAUUAACCAUGUUAAAUCUUCUCAUUUUGGGUAAUAAUCUUAAGAUGUACGGCCUGGAGAAGUAUUUAGAAAGAAGUCUAAUCCUCAGAGUCUAUUUUAUAAGGUAUCAGAAAAUCCGUAGUCGAUAUAGUUUUGGAAUUAGAAAAUGUAUCCUUCGACUCUUCCUUAGAUAAGGUCCUAAUUCUGGAUAUUGUAAAUCCUCCCUACCUCAACUCAACAGAAUUAAUCAUUUUCCUAACUAUUUGGUUGCAGCUAUGAUAACUCUGCUUUCACAAAUAGUGAAUGAAUUAGCUCUUCACUAGAACUAGAACUAGAACUAGAAAUUCCGACACUCUUAAUCACCCACUACCAAUCAGCAGCAGAAACGUGAUCCAAAACACAAGUACACAUCACACAUACAGAGUUUUAAGAAACAUAAUUGUACUUUAAAAUUUUCCAUCUGAAAAUGGUUAUUAUCUAGUUGUUAGCAUGAUAAGUUAUCUAAUUGUUAGUAGAUAAGGAUAAUAGGUAACAAUUAUCUCGUUGUUAAUUGAUAAGAAUAGUAGUUAUCAUUCGUUAAUUAGUUGGUUAUGUAAGGGAGCCUUCUGAUCAGUUGAGAAUGGUCUGCUACAAAUUAUGCUCCUCUUUCCUCUCCUUCACCCUCAUGUUAUUUACUUUCUUUCUCUCCUUCCUCUCUUUCCACAUAUCUAUCUAAUCUCCUCUUAAAAUACAUAUAAAAGGUUGAUCUUCAUAUUCUUCAUUGCACGUCUUAAUUAAUUAACAUUCAUGAUGGUUAAAUGAUCGUACAUACAAGCCCAAUAUUUAAACCAAAUGUAGCACUUAUUUCACUAAUACCUUAGCCAAAAUACAAGAAAAACUCAUAUUUACCAAACUCUCUGCAGUUAUAUGAUAACUAGGAAUAAAUUAAAACACCAAGUCAAAGUCAGCACCAUAACAUAAAUCAACCACAUUUAUUAAUGGAGUUAAUAUAAACGUACCCAUCUCUGUAGUUAUCUGAAAUGGUAGUGGCCAAGCCCGUGCUUAACGCCCCACUUAAAUUCCCCUACAUACUGUCUUCCAUCAUCGCAGGUAUGAACACCACAUCCAUGACUCUGCCCAUUCGCCAGCAUACACAUCCCCUGUAUAAAACCUAUACACACCAAAUCCAUGCCUAAGCCCCUGCCUAUAUUGGUCGCAAUAGCGACUCCCUCUUGCCCAUGUUUCCACCCCAUAGCCAUCUUACUUUUCAUUAACCCAAUCACCCUCGUACCUCCCACUCAUGUAAUAAUGAUAAACCCCACUACCAGAACAUUUCCCCUUAUGAAAUUCACCCUCAUAUACAUCACCAUUACUAUAUGCUUGCACCCAACACCCGGGAUUCACCCCUUUUUUCCAAUUUGGGCCUCGACCCAAUUGACCACAAUACAGGCAAUGCAGGUCUAGACACAUGACUUGAUGAGAGCUUGAUUGGAAAAGACCUAGCAAGAAAUAGUCGGAUUGAGGGGAGCCGAGAGAGUGCAAGAUUGAGAGAGAAUAAAAGGGCAGUCGAAAUAAAAUCAAGCAAAACAGAACUACUUGGAUGUGAAACCAAAAAGUAAAAAAACGGCAAUGAUAACAAGAGGAUAAGGCGAAUGUGCACUCGUAGGCGGCAGACGUGGCGGAUGCGGUUGAGGAGGAGGUGAAAGGCGGCAGCUUUCUUGCCCAAAUUACUCGAAAUUCGAUUAUGCUAAAAAUGGGUUUUCAAGGAGGAAAAUGGAUGGUUGUGAAAGGAAUUGGGAAGAGAAUUUUUGAUUUUUUUUCUUAUGGUUUAGUACUGAACUAAUUAAAAAUAAAAUUAAAUAAUUUAAAAUUCUUUCUUAAUUAAAUUCCUCCCAAAUUAUUAUUUAACUGAAUAUUAUAUACAAUACCAAAAAAUAAAAUUACUUUAAAUUAAUCUCCAAAAGACUUUUUUUGGAUUAAUAUUAUAUACUUAGAAUAAAAUUUAAAGUCUUUUGGAUUAUUUAAUUUUAUUUUUUUAACUUUAACUUUAUUUAAUUAUGAUCAUAAAAAUAAAUUUUUAUGGAGAUAUUUUAAAGUUUAAUAUAGUGUAAAGUUAUUUACUUUAUAGUUUAUUAAAAUAAAUAGUUGAUGUAAGUUACUUAAAAAGUGUUAUUACAAUUAAAUUUACUAUUGUAAAAAAAUUAAGGUAUUUAUAUUCACCACAAUUAAUUCAAAAAAAAUUAUUUAGAACAAGAUAGCAACCAAUUUUAUCCAUCGCAAAAAACUUCUGAAUAAUGAUAUAUAGUGAGUAAUAAUUCCUUCAUUAAAUAGAUUUUUUUCCUCGUAAAUUUUCAUCAUAAAUUGGCUCCAAAAAACUUACUAUCGCCCCAAUUUUGCGAGGAAAAAAAUAUAAAUUGUGAAGGAUGUUUCUUUCGCUAAUAACUAUAUUGUUACUAUAUUUUUUUCCUUCAUUGUUCCUUCGCUAAAUAACUCCUCAUGUGAAGGAAUAAAUUCCUUCACAAAAUUUCCUUCGCUAGAGGCCAUUUUUGGUGUAGUGAACUUUUAUAACUAUAUAAUUUAAAAGUAUCCAUGAGCUAGAUAAAUGGGAACCCUCACAUGUACAUUAAGCACUUGAUAACUGUUCUAAUAUAAGUUUUUAAUUAUUUGGUUACUAACAAAAACUAAAAUGGUUACCCUUAUAUGUAGGUUUGGAUACCAACUGUACCUCUCGAACUAUUUUUAUUUUAAUAUAAAAUCUAUAAGUGACCAUCAUAUAUAUAAAUGAGAACUCUUAAUUGGAAUUUCUUAUUCUAUCAUAAUGACAGGGUAUAAAUAAAACAUAUACAUUUAACAUUUUAUAACAGUCCUGAUACAAAUUUAUAAUUAUCUGGUUACUAACAAAAACAAAAAUGGUUACUAUAUAUGAAGGUUUGGAUACCAACUUAACAUUUCAACUGAAAUAACUGAUGGAUAUUGUUCUGAACCAAUUUUAUGUAAAUUUGGUUACUCACAAAAAAUAAAAUGGUUACCUCUAUAUGCAGAUUUAAAUACCAAUUGUACAAUUUCCAGAUAAUUUUUAUGAUAAUGUAAUUUAUAAGUAUACAUCAACUAGAUAAAUAAAACACUCUCACAUGUACAUUUAACACUUGAUGUUUGUCCUGAUACAACCUUGUAACUAUCUGGUUACUAAUAACAGUAACUAUAAUAUAACAUAAUAAAACAGUAACCACAUAAUUAUAUGAUAGUAACCAGGACAGUUUUUAAUGGUAACCAAAACAGAAACAUCAUGUAAUGAAACCCAGUUUAGGCAAUCCAUGUAUACUAAACAAUUACAUAUUAACCAGAAUAAAAAAUAAAAGUAACCAAAAUCCCACAUUGAUGGCACAAUAAUAGUAGCCAAACCAUAAGAUAACAAUAACCAAAACAUAAUAAAGAAGUAACCAAAUAGCUAUAUGAAAGUAACCACAACAUGUUUUAAUAAUGAUAACCAAAACAGAAACAACCUGUAUAUCCAACCCAGUUUAGGCAACACAUGUAUACUCUCAUAUGUACAUUUAACACUUGAAUUAUGUCCUGAUACAAACUUGUAACUAUCUGGUUACUACCAAUAAAUACAAUGGUUAUCAUUCUAUGCAUGUUUGGUUACCAACUGCACCUUUCAAAUAAUGUAUCAGACACAACUUAGAAGUAGCAAAUACAGACCAACAAAUAAUGUCAAAUCACAGGUAAUAUAAUCAAAUAUGUAAUCUUAUUUACAAAAGUUCCAAUAAACAUUACAGACUCACCCGAACUAAUAAACAAUGUCAAAUGGUUAUGGAUAUUCAACAAAAACCAAAGUAUGAAACACAAUUCAAAAGGACAGUACAAUGACAACCAGAACUAAUCAAAAUCUGGUACAAAUCUUCGUAAAAAUUCUCUGAAGUUGUGAAAAAGCCAACUGCGGAGGCGCAUCUCGUCUGGAAGGAAAUCUCUAGUUCCUUUGAGAUGAUUAACGUCAAUUUUCUGUCAGAGUUGAGAGAUAGUGGUGUUGCGGCGGCAACGGAGAAGGAAGACGACGAUUGGCUUCGAGAGGAGAGAGGGAAAUAGUAAAGGCAGGGAGAGAGAGAAGUAGUAAGGGCGGAGAGAGACCGAACGAGAAUGGAGUCUUUCAGGAAGAUGGAAACUAAUUGUUGUAUAGAUGGCAGUUAUCACGCGUUUCAAAAAAAACACCCUUUUGCCAUGUCAGCCCAUUAAUAUUAAUCCCUUAAAUUAAGGACUCCUAAUUAUAUUAGUAUUGUAAAUAUUUAUGAUGAAGUGUCAUAUUUUUGUAAUUAUUUUAUGAAUGUAUGAUUUUUGUAAUUACUUUUAUAAAUGUACUAUAAUAUGUAAUUGUUCCUUACCAAAACUACAUAAAAUAUCCAAAACUUACAUCAUUGCCUGUAUAGUAUCUGUAUUGUACAAUUUUUCUUUACUAUCAUAAAAUUAGUACACACAACUCAACAUCAAAACGAAUUUCUUUUGUUCGAGGUUUGUAAUUCUAAUUUAACUCAAAUCAUGUUCUUUUCAAUAAGUUAUUACAAUCUAAUUAUACAACCCGUCAUAAUAAUGUUAAACACUUGAUUGCCACACGAAUUAUGCAUUCACUUUAUAAAUCUUUCUUUAACUACAAAUAAGAUUUAUUUGCAAGAAUGAGUACAACGGCUCAACAAGUCCACCAGUUUUUGCAUUUUGUAUUUCACGUAACAAAUAUGUUAUGGAUUCUAUUCAAUGACAUACAUUUCCUUUUAUGCAUUUCAUAAUGCAACAUAAUACUCAUGUAAUGCAUUUUAUAACUCAUGUUGUACAUCAAAUACACAUUUCUCAGUUUACGUAUCAUGCUUUCAAUUUUAAACAUUUAAUAUAUGAUUUACAGAUCGAUAAACACAUUACCAAGUUCACAUAUAGCAUCGAAUUCCAUUAUCAAACACAUAUCAACAUUUUUCAAUACCACAUUAUCAUAUAAUCAACCAAUUUACAAAUAACUGUAAAUUCUUACAAUAAGAUUUUAAUUCAAUAAGAAAGAUAGAAUACUUGCAAUAAACUUUCAAUUUAAUAAGAAAGUUGGUAUACCUGCCUUCACAAGGAAACGCUUUCGGGUUAAUUUGAUUCCGCGUAUUCGAAACAAUACUACCUCGUAUCGCAACUAUAUAACGUAUAUAAAGUUGUUAUAGGUUAAUGCAUUUAUAUUUCAUAAACUUCCAACUUAACUUUGUAUUUUUAAAGUUUAGUAAUCCAUUCUUAGGUUUAUAAUACUAUAAGUUAGUUAUAGAUAAUAUUUUAAUUUCUAUGUAUUUUUAACAAUUUCUCUUCAUUGCAUCUUCAUUUAACUCAAAACAGCCCAUGGAAAACAUCUUGAGCACUGAAGUGCAACGCAGCCGGCAGCGCGCGCCUGCUGCUGUUCCAUGCAGCUGCUGCUGCUGUCUGCUGUCUGCAGUUGUUGCUGCUCUGAUUUGCUGAACUGCAGCAGUCCCAUGACCAACUUACCUACUUUGCGAUUUUCUAAUUUUCAAACCAUACAUCCGAUUGGAACCAAAUUUGAAUAUGAUAUACAUGGUGUUACAUACUAUUUUAUAAAAAUGUAAACUAACCAAAAACAACAUCUUAGACAGGUUUUAUAAGAGCUCAAAACUGUCCUGUUAAAGAAGUUUUUCAACUGAGCCUACUUUGUUCAUUUAUCACAUUCGCUUUUAAAUUUGUUUUGACUUACCCAAACCACUUGGGCAAUAAAUACUAAAACUAUUACCAUUUUGAGUGCCUAUGUGCACAUCACUAGAAUGCAAAUACCACAUUACAUCUUUGUGACAACCAAAAGUGUUAUGUCAAUACAUGUACAAGUCAAGCUCGACAAUGGUGCUUAUAAAUACAAAGAAAAAAAGAAAAAAAGAAAAAAAGAAAAAGAAAAAGAAGCACUGUAAUACUUGUCAUGCAGGAAAGCACAAACAACAUUUUAUCUUUAUUUUUCUUCUUGCAUCCGGUGAGAUAAUGCUAUUUGUUGGUGAAGCAACUCUUUCUAUAGUUCUCCCACUUCGAGUUGUGGGCAUACCCUUCACGAAUUCUACACCUCCCCAACAGAGUCGCCAAAUAAAUGUGGGCAAGGAAAUCGUACCUUGCUAGGGUUAGGGUUUCGUGUUGGCUGAGGAGGAGAGAAAUCCACGAAAAGUACGGAAUUGAUUGAUUGAUUAAAGAGGGGAGAACGACAGGUGGGCGAUUACUCCAACGACGCGUGACAGAACUCCUAGAAUCUGGGAACUGUGUUAGGGUAACAAGGAUUCCAAGAGCCUUCUUGAGUCCUUCCAAUUGAGAGAAUGUCCAAACCCUUUUGGUGCUUUUAGGUGGAAUCUCCAAGCCUUUAAGUCACCAAAAAGGGUCCCUUUGAUCUUCCAUGAGUCCAAGUCUUGAGUCUCCAGAGAAGUCCCCUUCCCAAUGGAAUUGGAAGGGGUAUUUAUAGGGUUCUCGGGAAAGUAGUCACGUGCAAGGCACAUGCUUUCAAGGAAAUUCCAGAAAUACCCUUUAGUCAUUAGAAUAAUGUUCAUAUUGCCCUGUCCUUCUAGCCACCAAUCCAAUCCCUCAAUCAAUUCCCAAAAUGAGUCGCCUCCACGAGUCUUCUGCCUCGGGACACGUGGAGGCUUCUCUCGAGUCUCGCAUAUUUAUUUCUGACUUUUCUGUUUGUCAUUCAAUGCUUUAGAUCGUAUCUGAAUCCUAAUUUGUACUUGGGCUCACACAUGCUUUGCAUUUAAUCACAUAACAUUCAUAUAUCCAACUUGCAUGUUCAUAUAGAUCAACAAAUUUCGCUAAAUACCAUAUAUUCAUGGUUCAAUACACAUCAUAGCAUAACUUCCACAUAACAACAAGUUUACAAAUUACUGUAAGAAACUUGUCUCGCUUGACAUGUUAAGAUUUAUUAUUCAAUUCUCUUACUUCUUGUCAUAAAUUAUUUCUAAACAACCUAACUCACUUGGCAUGUUUAUAUAUAUAUAUAUAUAUAUAUAUAUAUAUAUAUAUAUAUAUAUAUUGCCAUGGUACAACCUAACUCACUUUCUCAUAUUAUGUAAUAAUUUCCUAUUUAAUCAUUAAUCUGACACCAAUAUUUAUAUAUAUUGGUCUCACAUCUCAUAUUUUUAUUUCACAUCCAUUUAGUAUAAUUCUACAUAUUAUACAAUCAUAUGUUACAUUAUAGUAACAUAAUUCUCAUUACCAAGAAAAUAAUUUUCUUCCUUCAAUUAAUCAAAAAGAAUAGAAUAUAUUAACCCACCAAUUUCCAAACAAUGAACUAAUUAUUUCAUCCCAUGUUAAAAUUAUGUUUGUUUGGCACAAUAUCAUAUAUUAAGCCACUUACAUAAAUAUAUUACACUUAUUUGUAAUAUAUUAAAAUAAUUAUUUUAAUUAACUUUCUCAUUCUCAUUAAAACAAAAUACAUAUAUUAAUUCACUAAUUUUAUUAAGUGAAAUAAUCAUCUUACUUGUGAAAUAAUCAUCUUGCUUAUGAAAUUAAAUUCAUAAUUAAUCCAUUGCCAUAUAAGGUUUUAAUAUUCAAAUUAUAUUAUUUCAUUAUAUAAUUUUUAACUUAAUAUGAAUUAACUAAUAUUAUUUAGUUUACUUCCUUCGCCUCCAUAUUCCUUUUUGUAUUAACUCAACUAACAAAUUUAUCAGUUAAAUCCACUAUAAAAUCUUAUUUUUUUUAUAAAUGUAUAUAUUUUAUAAUUAUAUAUACAUUUUAAAUCUACCACUAAAAUCACAUAAAUGUAUACAUCCUAUAUAUUCAUACAUUCAAGCCCAUUACAUCUCACAAUAAAAAUUUAUAUAUUAAAUUCUUAUUUUAAUAAUUUUCGAAAUUCGGAUUGUCACAUUCUUUCUUUCUUAUAAGGAUUUCAUCCUCAGAAUUACAAUUACCAAAACAUCCUUACCCGGUUUACAUUUAUCCUUCCUCGUAACUUUAUUGUUUGAAUAAUUUCAACUUUAAUUAAUAUAGGUUUUAUGUUACCUAUUUCUCCUUAUUUAGUUCUUAUAGAUUUUACUUCAUAACCUUUAUUUGAACUCGAUUAUAUUCGAGUAUUAUACAUUCUUUAGCCCAUCAACACCCUUUUUCUACGGAUCACUAUAAGUCUCAAUCGUAUCAUCGUUUACUAAUGCUUAUAAUUAUUCAGGAUAUAACAUUCACCGGCGAUUCGUCCUUUAAAUUUUAACUCAAUAAUCUUCAUUCGUUUGAUUCGUUAAAAAUAGAUUUUUAUAUUAAUCUUCAUUUAUUAAUUGGGUUCUACGAAUAUUUUCUCUUUUAUCAGAAAAAAAAUCACCCCUUCCUAACAUCCAGUACUUUCAAGAGAACAUAGUAACUUUCAAAAGUCUUCAACAAUUGUGAAGCAGUAUGAACAAUUAGGAAUAAAAAAAAUUCCUUUAAGAAAAACAUUUUCGAAUCAAGCUAAGGGGUCACAAAACCUUGAAUUAUUUAAUAGAAAAUUUAACAAUCACACAGACCAUAAACAUUUCUACAUCAGUGCUCUAGGUGAUCAGCCUAUUGCAAUACUACGUCAUAUACAUCCUAUUAACGCAUCAACGUAAUUUGGAACUAUAGUCUCCAAUAACAUGUCUCACAUUACAUAUAUGGUUGGUUCACCUCAGAUUUAGUAAAAAAUUCCGCACAAAAAACAAUUUGAUUUAACAUAAAUUCUCAAAGAACGCUUGAAUCAAAUAACUUAGACUUUCAUCAACAAUUUAGACAUCAAUUGAAACAUUUAUCUAAUCAACUUAACUGACAUCAUUGUUGGUUUGAUUGGGUUAUAAAUUAGUAAGGAAGAAGCGUUAUGUAGGUGGUAUGGAGUGAUAAGGGUGAAUAUUUUUUUUUUGGCUAGACUCACUUAUAAAUACUGGUGAACUCUUUUUCUUAAAGGGAUGCACUUAACAUGUUUGAAAAAUUACCUCUUAGAGGCUGUCAAGUAUAAAAAGGGAGAAUUGGUCAAGGUUGUUAAUAGAGAAGUCUUAAUAUAUGUUAUAUAAAGUAAUUGGUGGGCAUCAUUUAAUGAACAAAUUUUUAUCACUGACAAAAGUUUUUGUUAAGUCACGCCACGAGUCCUGCCGAAUUGUUUAAAACAAACCGAGCUUAGUAACAAUUUAUCAAUUAAUAAAUAUGAUAUCUAAAGGUAUUGAUUCUAGAAAGAACACGUAACAAAAGGUUUCACUUAAAGAUGCCAAGUUCAAAGAGUCCAGACUUUGGAUGCAAAAAUAUAGUAGAAUGUCUCCCAUUUCAUAUCUUUGAACAUACAUUUGACUGAAUAUUGAAGACAACUAAAGAAGUCUAUUAGCAUCUCUAAAUACCAAUACCAAACUGUAAUCAGGGAAAUUGUAAUAAAGAAGCAGAAACAAGAUAAUCUACAUGACGGGAAUGCCAUUAAGUCAGUAAGAGGGGAGCUUUUGAAGGAAACAAUUUCAUAUAGAAAGGAAUAGUUAUUCAUAGGAAGAGGGAGCAGUUUAGUGUUUUCAUACACAACAAGUAAGGCAAGUAACUCAAGCAUUUCAAGGCGCAAACCUAGAUUUUGACCAACCACUUAUUGAAGACGCUUCAGAAGGGAGUUCGACAUCACCACAUAUGGCCAAUCAACAACAAACCAAUGCAGGAAGGCAAGGCGAGGAUGCAGGUGGAGACCAGACGAAUGUUGUACAACUGGAGAUGCUCAAGGCGUUGAAGGAAGCACGGGAAGAACAAGAGAUGAUGAUGGUUAUGAUGCUGGAGAUGCAGAGGAAGCAAGAGGAAAUGGGAAAUUUCCGACAGCAGUUGAUGUCGAUUCCCACUUUCAAGGCCAUGUUCCCAGACAAUUCACAAGGAGAACAAGCAGGAGUGGAGGACAACAACAACGAUAGCAACAAUAAGGAGAAUCAAAUUGCACCUCCGUUGACGGAGAAUCAGUCUGUUCCCAAUCAUCCACUUGGAACCUCAUAAUAGUGGUGACGUGCCACAACCCAGACUAGAAGUCAGCCAGCCUCAAACAAAUAUCAUUCCGACCACUAUCCUCGCAUUUUCACAAGUGCAGAUACCAACUAUCCCAAGCAUUGUCCAACGAACCAACACACAAGCACAACCGAUAAAGAAUUUACUUGAUGCCAAUGUACAUCAACCAAUUUCUGUACCAUACACACGGCCAAUUCCGCCAUACAUCACAACACCACAGAGAGUCCACACCACAAGCCAAUAUAUCACAAAGGAUGAUAUGAUCGAUGUGAUCAAUCAACUUCACAAGCAGACAUCCCGACCUUCGGAGUUAGGCUUUACUCCACCCUACCAAGCACAUAUUCGGAGACAACCUUACCCGACAGGGUAUAUCGAGCAUCCCCCGCAAUUUCCAAAAUACAAUGGGGAGAAAGGAAAUGUCAGGGAACACAUUGUCAGGUUCGUGGAGUCGAUGUCUCCAUGGUUAGGAUAUGAUGAAAUGAACAAUCAUAAUUUGUUGAUGAGAGAAUUUAACAAGACUUUGACGGAUAAUGCCUUCAGUUGGUACUACAACUUGGAGAAGGGAUCAGUCCAUGAUUGGGAUGAUCUAAAAUUGCAAUUUUUUAAGAAAUUUUUUUAUGUGCAGAAACAGGUAACCAUCGUAGAGCUCGUGCGAUUCAAGCAGAAGCCAAACAAAGAGCUGUCAGAUUACGUGGAUAGGUUCAGGGCCCAAGCGCAGAAGUGUGCAGAGCCAAUUUAAGAAAAGAACUUGGUUAGCAUAUGCAACAAUGGUGCUUUAGACACCUUCAAGCCCCACCUCAUUACCAAAGCGUGUGAUUCAUUUGCGACCAUUUCAUCUUUUGCACAAGACUUGGGAGGAAUCAUGACGUUUCCCACCAGCCAUGCGAUGGUUACAUGGAAGGGUAAGAGGACAACAACUGUGGCUUUGGCGGAUUCUCAAUCAAAACCACAAGGGGCAAGAGGGAGAAGAAUGAGAAAUUUGAGCGAAGCAGAGAAAAACAUGGGGACAAGUAUACCAGAAUGCCAGUUCCGGAGGUUAUCACAUGCAGCGAGAAGGCAUUCAGAAGCCUGUACGAAAAAUGGGUUGAGCACGGAGUGGUGAAGCCUCUAAGGCCCCGGCUGGUUGUAACGGAAGAGAUGAAAAGAAGACCGGACUUCUGUGUAUACCACCAAUACGCAAGACAUUCCACUAUGAACUGUUACAGUCUGCGGAGGAUAUACCAUGAUAAGCUGGCGGCUGGGGAGAUUGAACUAAGAGAAGAAAUGUGCAACACUAUCACCCAUGGUGCAGUUCCGGAAGUCAAGAACCCAAAUACUGGCUCUACCAUCGAAAAAACUCUGAACUACAGAUGAAUUAAAAAUCCACCCAAGAUGGUGGUCCACCAAAAAAAUGAUGGUUUAAGUCCUCGGGAGUUUCCCUUUCCAAGUAAUUGGAUGACCAAGGGAAGAGGCAUACGAAUUGACGAAUUUAAAAAAACAAAUCCACCCAAGAUGGUGGUCCACUCUAAAUGGUGGUCAAGUUCUCGUAGACCGCACUUGCCAAGAAAUUGGACGACCCAAGUGACGAGGCACCCGAUUCAAGUCCUCGUAGACUGUACUUGCCAAGAAAUUAGACGACCCAAGUGACGAGGCACCCGAUUUCAAGUCCUCGUAGACUGCACCUGCCAAGAAAUUGGACGACCCAAGUGACGAGGCACCUGAGUGUUAUACUUUAUCAUCAAAAGUGAACGAGGCACCUGACUAUAAGUCCUCAUAACUUAUGCUUUCAACUUCAAAAGUAAUUGAGGCACAUGAGUAUAAGCCCUCAACCCCAAAAGUUACGCUUUAUCUUUAAAAGUGACGAACGUUAUGCUUUCUUCGACAAAAGCAAGAAAGUUACACUUUAUCUCCAAAAGUGGCGAACGUUAUGCUUUCUUCAACAAAAGCAAGAUUUAUUAUAUGAAACGUUAUGCUUUUCGUUAAAAGCAAUAUGAUUAUCAAUGAAUUGACAAACUUUCACUUAUACUUGAAAGUUUUCCUGAUUUCUUUAAAAAAAAGUAUAAAUUCAAGUGUUGGUUUGUAGAAAAUAUAUAUACAUGUUUUUUUUAAAAUAAAAUUCAUGUUUACUUGUUUAUAAUACCUAUUGUUGUCUUGGAGUAUUAAUUUGAAUAACUUGAGAUUCAAUGAUAAACAUUAAGUUUUAAGAAAUCAUUCAAAUUAAAAGUAAUCAACAAGGUUAAAGAAACUACAAUUUGAUGAAUGAAAUAUAUGUACAUGAAUUUUCUGAUACAAGAAAUGGAAAAAAUAACGAAAGUUCAUGAUCCAAAGGCCAUGACCUGUUGAAUUGAAGAGAGGGGAAUAACUAAAGUUUGGCCUUCAACGCUAUCAGGCCUUCAAUGCUAUCACGUCUUCGAGGAUAUCAUGUCUUCAAGGCUAUCAAGCCUCCAAUGCCAUCAGGCCUUCAAUGCUAUCAGGCCUUCGAGGCUGUCGGGCCUUUAAGGUCUUGGGCAGCUGACUCAAUUUCCCAAAAGAUUGGUCUUCAAUUUAUCUAUGGCAUCUUAAAGCUCCUAAGGUUUUACAUGAUGAAGUAAGUCGUUUCCAUGGUGAUGAGAAGCGACUUUCGAACGAAGUGUAACAACAUGAUAAUGGGAGAGAUCCAACCUAACAUGGAAGGAAGACAUGUUUGAAGAGGGUUAGGAGAUGUCAUGGGAUGCGGAAGGUCAUUCAAACCACCCAAAGUGCUAUCCACAAUACCCUCCCGAGCAAUCACCAACUCGGCGGGCAGCAGGCCAUCCGAGCUUACAUCAGACAAAGAAUUCUUAGCAUCAAGACUCGAAGGAUUACAUAAUGUGGUGAAGGAUUAGAUCGAAGAUUUUUUUCAAUAUAUCCCAGGAGAGCUCUUCAAGGGCUCGCCCUCCUAGGGUUUGCUCCCCUAAAGGUUCCCUCUCCUAGGACUUUCAUUUUUUGAGGCUUGCAAAAAAUAUCAAGCCCCGCGAAGUGUUUAGAAACUGGAAUCAAGGCUUCAACACUUAAAAAUAUUUUACGCGAUCAUCUCACCAAAGGCGUGACUCACGCGCAGGGGAAAAAUGUUUACUGAUAGAUGGCAUAGACAUCCUCAAGAGUAGAGAUUUAUUCCCCCUAGAAGUGAUGAAUACACAUAUAGAGGAGCAACAUGGUCCUGUUGGAUACGAAUGUCCCUGUAUAGCUGGAUACAACGAAGAAUGUUAGCCUUCUCUUUAGUAUAUCCACAUAAUCAGCAUUCCCAAGUAUCUCGCCAGUCCAAUGUUGUCAUUCCUGAAGGUGGUUAGAUGAAUAAGACAAGAAGUGAAGUAGAAUGUGAUCAAAAUGGGGAAAGUCAUCACAACUUCCAUAAGCCGCUGGAUAUAGAAACAAGCCUUCCUUAUCUGGUGGAGGAAAAGUUAUACGAUCAUAAGUUUGGACUUGCUUCCAAAAGACGGUGAAAAGACCAAAGGAGGGGAGCCCUUCCCCAAUCAUUGAGAAACGGGGCCUCCUUAGUUGUUCCCUUCAUCCUUCGGCCAUGUAGGCUUCGGCCCCCUAGGGUUUGGCCAUAUAGGCUUCGCCCACCUAGGGGUUGUUCCCUUUAACCUAUAGGGUUCGGCCAUGUAGGCUUCGGCUCCCUAGGGUUCGGCCAUGUAGGCUUUGGCCACCUAGGGGAUGUUCCUUCAUAUCUCCAAGGUCAUGUUCCUCCACGAAUCAACUGCUUGGAACGAAUCCUCUUUCGCCGCGAAAAUUAUAACCUUCCUCUGAUGAAUUCCGAGGGAAAAAAACCAAGAUGUAAUCAAGGUAAUGGGGCUCGGAAGACAAAAGAAAGAUUGGAGGAUCUUAAAAAAAAAAAAAUUAUUACAUAGGGUUCGACACCUCCCUAUAGGGCCUUGCAAUUGGAUAUGCAGUUCUUGUUAAAUGGACAACAUUCAAAAAAAAAAAAUCUUGAAUCGCAUCACGAAAGGUUGAGCAUGACAUGCUGUCAAAUGUUACCUCAAUUUGUAUUAUAAUUAAUGGACUUAGCAAAGUAGGUGAAUUGGCAGCCACACAAAAUUAUUUGAUUGAAGGAGGCAUGUGGUUUUUUUCUUGAAAUACAUAAAUUUGGGUCCUCCCAAAUUUGGUGGUUGACAUACUUUAAUUGAUGGGUACUAUGAAGAAGGAACAUAGAGGUUGCCAUGGGGUUAUACAUAGAAAGGAUAAUCAAAGACCUCGAGCAUGAUGUAAUUGCUUACACAGAUUUGAUUGAUGGGCAUUUUGAAGAUUGCAAUUCCAAAGUAGUUCUCCCUCCGUACAAAGAGAUGAUGCCCUCUGGUGCUCUUAUCAUGCUCACCCCUCUCAAGAAAUAAGAUAAGUAAAUGUUUUAUUUAUUUCUAAAAAAAUAAAAUAAGAUUUUAUUUUUUUUUUCGAACAAAUAAAAUAAAAUAAGAUUUUAUUUUUAUUUUUUAAAAAUAAAACAAAAAAAUAAAAAAAAACUUAUGAAUUACUAAUAAAGUUCUUCCCGGAGAUUAGCGAUUACUGAAAAUAUAUAUGAACGAGGGAAUAUUUUAUGGGGUCUUACAAUUUGGAAAUUCUGUGGGUAAUUGUGAUAAAUAAAAGGUAAUUAAUUAGACAAUUAGGCGUUGCUGGAUUUACGCCUUUAAUCAUAACUAGAGAAUUAUAUGCAUGGGAUAUAGGAUUUGUCAUUUGUAUAUCCAUUUUAUAAAUUGAGGAAAAGAGAUUGUUUAUCAUUUCUGACUGACCCAAGCAUCAUACCAUUAUUCUAAAGUCCUUCCCAUAAUAUUACUUAUGGAAAGUUAGAAUUAUAUCCCAUCAAAAAGAUGCCUUGAUUCAAUCACUUUAGUAUCCUGACUUGCAGAACUUUUAUUUCAUUUUAUAUGGAAAUAUUUUGCAAUGACCAAUCACAGUUUCACAAGGAAUUCCUGUAAAAGCUAAAAAAAUGAUUUGGUUUUGAAAAUGAAGCCCGUGUUCAUAAGUAAUCAAAUCUUCAAUUGAAAAAUAUUAUAUAUAUAUAUAUAUAUAUGGAAUAUUUAAUAUUAUUUUCAAUUAAAAAUAAGAAAGGAUUUGAUCUUGUGUCCAAAAUAAAAUAAGAUUUUAUUUACUUAGUAAUAUAUAUAUAUAUAUAUAUAUAUAUAUAUAUAUAUAAUUAAGAAAACAAAGAUUGAGCAGGAUUUGGGAAGGAUCUUCAAGAUAUCUUGGGAGAGCUCUCCUAAGGGUCCCCUCUCCAAGGAUUUUCUGUUUUCAGGACUUGCAAGAUUGAGCUCCGCGGUUUGUUCAGAAAUUUGAAACACGACUAAAAGACUCGAAGUAAUUUGCACGAUCGCCACUCCAAAGGUGUGACUCACGUGUAGGGGGCAAAUGUGAGCCCAAGUACAAAUUAGGGUUCACAUACGACCUAAAGCAUUGAAUGACAAACAGAAAAGUUAGAAAUAAAUGUGCGAGACCCGAGAGAAGCCUCCACGUGUCCCGAGGCAGAAGACCCGUGGAGGUGACUCAUUUUGGGAAUUGAUUGAGGGAUUGGAUUGGUGGCUAGAAGGACAAGGCAAUAUGGGCAUUAUUCUAAUGACUAAAGGGUAUUUCUGAAAUUUCCUUGAAAGCAUGUGCCUUGCACGUGACUACUUUCCCGAGAACCCUAUAAAUAUCCCUUCCAAUUCCGUUGGGAAGGGGACUUCUCUGGAGACUCAAGACUUGGACUCUUGGAAGAUCAAAGGGACCCUUUUUGGUGACUUCAAGGCUUGGAGAUUCCACCUAAAAGCACCAAAAGGGUUUGGACAUUCUCUCAACUGGAAGGACUCAAGAAGGCUCUUGGAAUCCCUGUUACCCUAACACGGUUCCCGGAUUCUAGGAGUUCUGCCACGCGUUGUUGGAGUAAUCGCACACCUGUCGUUCUCCCCUCUUUAAUCAAUCAAUCAAUUCCGUACUUUUCGUGGAUUUCUCUCCUCCUCAGCCAACACGAAACCCUAACCCUAGCAAGGUACGAUUUCCUUGCCCACAACAUGAAAACUAAGAAGUUUGUGUUAGUUAUAGAACAUGAAGAUUAUAAUGCAUUACAUGAAAUGUAGGAUGCAUACCAGGAAACACAGGAGCUAGGCAUGUACAGAAUACAUAAUACUUAAUAAAUCACGCAUGAAUAAAAUGCAAGUAUGUAUGUUAUGUGAAGUUUGUAAUGUAUAAACUGUUAGAAUUAUUGGCCAUUGUGUUCAAACAUCCAACUAUUUGCAAUUUAAAGAUGUGAUGCAAUUAUCUCUAUAUCAUGAUGAUCAAGACUUGAAGCACGUUUAAAAGAGAACUUUUCAUUAUUUUCUUCAAUUGUAUUUAUGUUAAGCUAAAAUGAUAGUUUACAAUGCAUGUAAGCUAUGUUAUGCAAAGUACAUUAGUUUAAUGCAUGGUUACAGUGUAUCUAACAAUGUAAAAUGAACCUUACGCUUAUAUAUAAUAUUUUGAAAUGGAUCUUUAUGUAUAUACGAUCUUAAAUAUAAGUACAUAUAAUAAAGGUUACGAAUCCUGAAACUAAGAAAAGAUUGAAAUAGCUAAGUUUUAAUAUUAAUAUUAUAUGUUAUAUACAGUAAGAAUAAAGUUGAUGGUGAAAAUUCAAGAAAUGAAAGAUAAUUGUAAAAAGAUUAAAUUUACCUUUGGAGGUUAUGCAAUUAGUUGGAGAGCUACUUUAUAGCAUACGAUUGCUCUCUACUAUAGAGGUCGAAUAUAUGGCUAUUAUAGAGGUUGUUAAGGAAGCUAUUUGGUUACAAGGCUUGUUUGCAGAGAUCAUCAUGGAUCAUGGAGUUACUAUUGUCCAUUGUGAUAGUCAGAGUGCUAUACACUUGACUAAAGAUCAAAUGUUUCAUGAGAGGACGAAGCAUAUUGAUGUCAGGUAUCAUGAUUUUGUUAUAGAUAUUGUAGAAGAUGAUGACAUUAAGGUCUUGAAGAUUGGUACUACAAACAAUCCAGUUGACAUGUUAACUAAGCCGUUACCACAUACCAAAUUCAAACAUUGCUUGAACCUGGUUAGUGUUCGAUGCACUUGAGUUGUGCAUUUGAGAAGAGAAAGUUCAUUGUUUGUGCAAUAUUUGGAGGAUUCAAGUCAAGGUGGACAUUUGUUGGGUAUGACAUGAAUCCUUAUUAGAUUUGGAUUGAGCUAUUAUCUAGAAUAUGUUUUGCUUUAAGAAAGUUAUCUUUUCUAACUAUACCCAAUUUAGUAUUUCUAAUCCUAUUUGGUUAUGAAUUUUCCUAUGACCUAUAAAUAUAGGUGCUAGAAUUUUGGAGAAGAGACAUUUAGAAAUAUUUUAAGAAUUCUCAUAGUUCUCUCUAUUUAUCUUGUACUCUUUAGAUAUUUAUUUAAUGGAUUUCUUCUACCUUCUUUGUGGUUUUUUUCCGAUUUAGAUUUUCACGUAAAACCUUGUGUUAUUGUCUAUAUUUUUCUACUUAAUUUGAUUUAUUAUGUUUGUCAUAGUUUGUCAUAACAUAUAUUAAAUAUGUUAAUUUUGAAAAAUAAAAAUUUAUUCUCAAAGUUAGAAUUGCAAACAUACUUAGAUAUAAAGUUAUACUAUUUUGAAAUUAAAAUUUAAUUUUGAGACGCUGAAAAUAUAUAUUUUAGGUAUCGUUUUAAACAAAUGGAACAUAUGUAAUACCCUUCAAGCUAGAAAAUUUAUAUAAACAAUUUUAAGAAAAAAAAUAUCAAAAGUGAAAUUUCAGUUGUACAAGCCUUGUUGAUAAAUUUAUUAACAAAUAAGAAGAGGUCAACUUAUUAUAUUUUUUUUGUUCCACAAAAAAUAUUUCAUGGUAACUGUUAUGAUAAACUAUGACAAACACAAUAAAUCAAUGCAUAAAGAUAAAGACAAUAACACAAGGUUUUACGUGAAAAUCCAAAUCGAGAAAAAAAUACGAAGACAGAAAAAAUUCACUAAAUAAAUAUUUGCAGAAUACAAGAUAAAGAGAGAAGUAUGAGAAUUUUUAAAAUACUCCUUAAUGUCUUUUCUCCAAAAACUCAGCACCUAUAUUUAUAGGCCAUAGGAAAAUUCCAUAACCAAAUAGGAUAAAAAAUACUAAAUUGAGUAUAACUAGGAAAGAUAACUUUCCUAAACCAAAACGGAUUUUAGGCCAAUAAGGAUUCAUGUCAUACCCAAUAAAUUUUCACCUUGACUUGAACCUUCCAAAUAUAUCACAAAAAAUAAACUUUCUCCUCUUCUCAAAUGCACAACUCAAGUGUGUCAAACACUAACCGGGUCCAAGUAAGGUUCGAACUUGAUACAUGGUAACAACUUUGUUAACAUGUCAGCUCGAUUGUCUGAAGUACCUAUCUUCAAGAUCUUAAUGUCACCACCUUUAAUAAUGUCUCGAACAAAAUAAUACCUGACAUCAAUAUUCUUCGGCCUCUCAUGAUACAUCUGAUCAGUGGUCAAGUCUAUAACACUUUGACUAUCACAAAGGACAACAGUACCUCCAUUAAUAUCCAUGUUGAUCUCUCCAAACAAGCCUUGCAACCAAAUAACUUCCUUAACAGCCUCUAUAAUAGCCAUAUACUAUACCUCUAUAGUAGAGAGAACAACCACAUGUUGUAAAGUAGCUCCACAACUAAUUGCACAACCUCCCAGUGUAAAUAGAUAACCAGCCAACAAUCUCCUCCUAUCAAGAUCACCAACAUAGUCUGAAUCAACAUACUCUAUAAGGGUAUCGCCAUUCCUUCCAAACUCUACACCAACAUCAGAGGUACCUCACAAUUAUCUUAAAAUCCAUUUAAAUGCUUCCCAGUGAAUUUUACCUAGAAGUGAUAAGUAUCUACUUACCACACUAAUGACAUGUGAAAUAUCUGGAUGAGUACAAAUUAUAGAGUACAUGAGGCUACCAAUUACACAAGAGUAGGCAACACUUAACAUAUAUCUAACCUCCUCAUCUGUCUGAGGAGAUAAUUCAACUGAUAAUUUGAAGUGAGCAGUAAGAGGAGUACUUACUAGUUUGGCAUUCUUUAUACCAAAACCAUCAAACACAUUCGCGAUGUAGUCUUUCUAGGAUACGUACAAUUUCUUAAUUAUGCGAUCUCGCUGAAUCUCCAUGCCAGUAAUCUUCUUAGCAGUCCCUAAAUCUUUCAUAUCAAUCUUGGUGUUCAAUUAUUAUUUUAGUUCACCAAAAUCUAAACUAUCUAUUACUAUAAUCAACAUAUCAUCAACACAAAGCAAAAAAUAGAUAAAUGAGUCAUCCCGCAAUUUUCUAAACUACACACAACUAUCAUAUUGACUCUUGGUAUAUUCACUAACAACCAUAAAUGAAUGAAAUCGUUUAUAACACAACCUAGGAGAUUGCUUUAAACCAUAUAAGGACUUUUUCAACAAGAAACCGUGGUGAAAACACAUAAUUGAAGUUAAUUCCCUCGACUUGAUUGAAUCCCUUAUCUACUAGUUGAGCCUUGUACCUAGAUUCUUUAACUCCCUGGAUGCCUUCCUUUUCCUUAAAUAUCCAUUUUAAACCCACAAUUUUUCUUACCUUUAGGUGGUUUCACAAGCUCCGAAGUCUGAUUUUUCCGAAGAGAUUACAUCUCCUCGUAUAUAGCAAACAACCACUUUUCUGAAUCAUUCGAUCGAGGAAACAACAUCUUUAUAAGUUCGAAGGUCACUAUACUCAACUGCCUCGACAGCUGACAAGGCAUAAGCAACAUAAUCUGAAUACAUAUAUCUCUGUGGUGGUCGCACUGUCCUCUUUGCCCAGUCUCUAUUGAGACUAUAUUGAUUGUCCACAUGUUAGUAGCACACCAAAAUCUAUAACCCUUCACACCAUAACUAUAACCAAGAAAGAUGCAUUUCUUGGCUUUAGGUUCGAGUUUUCCCUCAUUCACCACUACAAGAAAAAAGCUUAAGCUCGACGGAUUAUUUCGUCGGAAUUACUCCUAUUCAGUCGAUAUUACAUUAUUCCCGACGGAACUAUCCGUCAGAUAUUCGGUCGUAAAUAUUCGCGUCGAAAAUAAGAUCCGUCAAAAGUUCUGUCGGAAAUUACAUAUCUUCGACGCACGUAUCUCCGACGGAUGUACGUCGAACAUUACCUAUCUUCGACCGAAUAUAUAGGACGAAAUAUUUCGUCGAGUAUAAGAGUCCCUACGUUCGACGGAUACAUUCCCUUGGAAUUAACUUAUGUUCGACUGAAAAAUAGAAUAACCCAUUAUUCAUUAAAAUUGGUUAAUUAUUACAUUCGACAGAAUUUGCGUCGGAGAUAGAGUGUUUACGACGGAUAAGUUGCGUCGAAGAUAACGUAUGUUCGACUGAAAUUAGGAUAUUUUGGCAUUUAUUAAAAAUUACUUAUUUGUUACUUCCGAGGGAAAUUUCGUCGCAACUACCUUAUUCCGUCGGAAUUAACUAUCCUUUUUUUUAAAUACAGAUUUUAAAAAUUCAGUUUCCAGGUGUUUAAACCUAUUAAUGUACCUGUAACCUGUCACAACCCAAUACACAGUAAUAUAAACCUGUAUCUCACAACCCAAUAUGUAACGUAGCACUAAAACUUAAUCUUCAACUCAUUAUCAUUCACAUUCACAUUCAAAUAUCCACCAAAAUCUAUUAUAAGCUAACCAAUUACAAAUAUUCAGUGCGUAUGUUCCAUAAAUGUUAAACAAUUUAAUUUACAAUAGUUGUACAGACGCAAUUAGACAAUACAAUAUAUACAAAAGGGUCUAAAAUAACAUGAAUAUAUACAAAUGAACUAUAAACUAGUAAAAGUAUGAUCAUCAUCGGGCGGAGGUGAACGACGCUGCUUUGGUGUAUGGAUGUCAGACUCGUGCUCUUGCUCAUCAUCGCCAGCCUGGUCUCCAUCACCACCCUGUUGAUAGAAUCAAAAAUAUAAAUCAUUAGUCCAUAUAUAUAUAUAUAUAUAUGUGUGUGUGUGUGUGUGAGAAUUAACAAACUAUCCUUAAUUGAAAAACAUAAACAAUAAGAAUACCGGCGUAGGUGGGGGCGGACGAAAAGCCUCCUCCAAGAGGGUAAUCACCAUCUGGAGCAUCUCGAUGCUCCAAGCGUCGAACUGCUCAUGUGGUAAUCCCGUACUCUCUGCAAAGGUCCCUGCUAUAAUAUCCUGAGCAAUCUGGUGAAGACGAGAAUUGGAAGGCAACUGCUGACGCCGAAAGACUGGAUCGGUAUGGAACCUAUCCGACACGGCCCCUAUCAGCCGCCGGAAGAUAUCGUCAUCCAAGUCAGCGCCCGUAUGAGAUGGUCCGACAUGUGCUCUCGGACGCUGGCGCUAGCUGGAGCCUAUAAAGAGAUACAAAUUCAAUUACUAAUAAUAAUUUAUAUAAUAUGAUAAAUUCGGAUAAUUUCGUGAAACAUUAAAAAAUAUUACCUCCAGGAAGUGUAUAUGCGGGUAUCCUUGGCAGACCCAACACUCGAUAUCUGCCGGUACUGCUAGUAGGGGGAUCCUGAGAUGUGACCCAUAGUCUCAGCUCCUCAUCCCGAUCUAAUACAAUAUCGGGAAGAGGGGUGGCGGAAUCUAACGGCUCAGAACCCCUCCUAAUAGUCUCUAGCUCAGCUAUACGCUCGUCCCGAAGCUUCUGAAAUCGGUCCUGUAAUGUAUUCCGUAUACGUAUGUUAAUUAUAUCAUUUUAUUUACGAUUGAAUAUUAUUAAAAGCUAAAUAGUAAGAUGAGUUUUACCCGUAUAGCUAAAGCUGCCUGAGACAAAGCACGCUCGUCCUUAGGCGUGUGGGCUCGAUCCCAAAACUCUAGCAUGGUAGGAUCUCGGCCCAAGGUCCUCCCCAAUGCCUAAUACAAACAUUCAUAAAACAGGUCUUAAGUAUUUGUGUGAGAACUUGACACAUAAAUAACUAAAUACAACGCACUUACCGUCUUCGCCUCCUCGAACGACUGAGAACCAGUGGUGUGUACUAUCCGGAGCUGACCACGGUUCUUCUUCGCCUGCUCGGACUUUUUCUUGAAGUCAUCAGCCUCCCAUUGCGCACACAUAGCCUCCCAGGCUAAAUCGGAGACUAUGCGGGGCUGAUGAUCUCUGAUGGUGGUCCCGGGCUGGUCCACAACUGCUCAGGUUGCCUUCUGUCGCAUCUCAUACAGCCAUCUAGAGUAAUUUGCAGCGACGUGAUGCUCAAUCGCAGCAUCGCUAGCUGACUGAGAGAUGCUCGGGUCAAAUCGAUAAUAAACCUAUAACAAAAGAUUAUUUAAAAUUAAGAACAUUUGAUGAACUAACUAAUACAACUAUGUGGUGAUAAUAUGCUUUACUUCCCGGAUACAAUGCGACCCCAGAUUAAAAUAGCAACUUGUAAAAGGCAGCAGCUGUAUCAUUUGGCACUUGCUUCGCACUGCUUGAAGAAGGUUCAUAUUCAUCCCAGUCAAUAGUAGUAGGGCCAUAAGCAUCGACCAACAUCUCAACUGGAUCAGAGUGUUCGACGUAUGAAGCCUGUGGAAUUGGUUGUUCCACAAUAUUUUCAAUCACUUCUGAUUCCCCGUGAUGAGUCCAUACGAAGUACCCACCCACAAAUCCAUGAGAAAAUAAGUCGAAUUUAAUCUCAUCAAAUUUCUUCCAAAUCAGAUUUUUACACUUGACAUACGGGCAUCGCAUCUUCCCAUUCGGAUCAUCCAUAUGUUCUAGUGCUUUGUUCAUGAAAUCUAAAACCCCAACACGAUAAGCUGAGAUUAAUCCCCUCCCAUCACUGGGUAUCCUAUGGUACAUCCAACUCCGAUCAGCUGGCAUUUUAACUACACAGAAAUACGCAUUAAGUUAAUUUGGAUAUUCAUGCAUGAAUUAGUAUUACCUAGUAUCUCUACAGGACAGGGGUAAGGCUUCUAUCCCGUUAUUGGAUGCGUCUCGUCACUAGUGCAAACACGUUAAGUACGUUUCAUGAGUUUCAAAAAAAAUUCGACAGCACCUCCCCAUGGUCUCCAAGCACACGAAAUAGACUACGAUAACUUAAUCUAAGUAUGCACUCGGAAAACAUAUAGAGAUAACAGUCGAUUAAUCCUCAAAAUAACAAAAAAUGUACCGUUUCAUAUUUGCACCGGCCUAAGUGAGAGACAUAGCAUCCAAUAACAGUCCCAAACUGGGGACUGUUCGACAUUCACCCCUACUGAGUGUAUGUCAAACGGGUUUCUAAGUUUCAAAGUAUAGUACAUAUAUAAUUGAAAAUUCUAUUUAGUUUAUGAGAAUUGUUAUGUGGAAUCUCUACUUGAGUCGGCAAUCGGGAAAAAAAAAAGGGUCGUAGUUCCUGUUGUGUCCUAUACUCGAAUAAUAAAGGUAAUUGAAUUACUGCAGACAUUCCUCACUGUUCCAUCAUAACAGAUGGCAACAUCCGGAAGGAGUUCCAGUAAAUUGUUGAACAAAGUUCUAGGUUAAGCAACUCUCUAGAUGAACGAACGAUCACUUCUCUGCUAGGAAUGAAUCAUCUCCCCAUAUGGGUCCAAUCCAUGAUAUAGACAACUUAUCACCACUCCGAAUUCUUCAAAUGGAUAGUUCUCAUACAAGAAGUGAGACGUUCUGUUAGAACUACCCAUUUGAGGAAUUCAGAGUGGUGAGAAGCUGUUUAUAUCAUGGAUUGGACUCAUAUGGGGAGAUAAUUCAUUCCUAGCAGAGAAGUGAUCGUUCGCUCAUCUAGAGGGUUGUUUAACCUAGAACUUUGUUCAACAACUUACUGACACUCCUUCCGGAUGUUGCCAUCUGUUAUGAUGGAACAGUGAGGAAUGUAUGCAGUAAUUCAAUUACCUUUAUUAUUCGAGUAUAGGACACAAACAGGAACUACGACCCUUUUUUUUUAAUUGUUGCCGAGGAACUGGUUGGAGUACUAUUAGCUGCAACUGCUAUGUUGAAACCUGCAUACAAGAAAGAGUACAUAUAUGUAGGGAGUGUUAUUGCAUUUAUAUAUUGAAAAUUGUGGCAAACUAAGCAAAUGCUACUUAGUUUAUUUUGCCAAUGAUAAUAAACUAAGUAAGUGGUACUUAGUUUAUGAAAAUUGUUAUUUGGAAUCUAUAGAGAAUAUAUACUGUUCGACAUUCACUCCUACUUGGUUUAUUUUGUCAAUGUGAACUAAGUAAGUGGUACUUAGUUUAUGAGAAUUUUAUUCAAUUAUUUUUAUUUUAUUUUAUGUUUUAUUGGAUUGUAUUUUAUUUGUAUUAUAUUAUAUAUUUUAAAAUAUUUUUUAUUAAAUUUAAUUUAUUUAUUAAAUUAAAUUUUAUUUAUUUUUUUCAUUAUAUUUUAUUAAAUUUAAAUUAUUAUAAUUUAUUAUUAUUAUUUUGUAUUUUAUUUUAUUUUAUCUUAUUAUUACUCAUAUUAUAUUAUAUUAUUUUAUUUAAUGUAUUUUAUUUAUUUAUUAGAUAUAAUUUAAGUUAUUUCAUUUAGGAACAAUUAUUUUAUUUUAAUUUAGUUAUUUUAUUUCAUUUCAUUUCAUUUUAUCUUAAAUUAUCUUAUGUUAUUUAAUUUUAUUAUUUUAUAUUAUAUUAUGUUAUAUUAUUUUAUUUAUGUUUAUAUUAUUUUAUUUUAUUUAGUAGUACAAAACUAAGUAAAUAUUACUAUAAACUAGGUUAUUUUAGUAUUAGAAAAUUAAUUAAGUAACAUAUUUAAAUAGUUACAUGGGCCCACAAAAUUUGCAAUUGAAGACUUCUGACAGAAAUUCAGUCAGAAAUUCCAUCGGAAAUAUCAUGUGUAAUUGCAGAAAAACAAAUUGAAACAUUUACCAGAUGCUAUACACUAAAUAGAAGCUGCAACAUAAGCUGUAAUCCCAAUUUGCACAGUAGUUUGCAUAACAAUUAGGCAUAACACAAUUUCGGCAACCCAAUUUUCAUAACAGUUAGGCAAUUAACACAAAUAAUAACCCUUAUAAUUUCAGCAGAACACAAAUAGAUAUAACCCAUUUUGGCAGAACACAAAUAACCCAUUUCGGCAGAACACUUAAGUCCCAAUUUCAGCAAUGAAUUCAAAAUAUAUAUAGUAGCAGUAAUUAUCAUCAAUAGAUAUAUAUAUAUAUAUAUAUAGUACCAAUUUCAGUGUAAUAUGCACAAUAUAGGGCAGGAAAUUAUACCUAAUUAUACAAAUAAACAAUUACUAACCUUAGGCCUUAGCUAGUUUGAAAAUCGGUUAAAGGAGGAGAAGGAGAAAGUAGAGUCCAACCCGGCCAGAACGCGUCGUCGACGUCGACUGCGUAAGGGAGGGUCGCCGGCAGUGGCGCUGUGUAGAAGGGUGGCCGGCAGUGGGGCUGAGUGCAGAGAGUGGUGAAGAGAGAGAGAAAGAGAGAGACGAACAUACGGUGGCAGGGGAAAAGGGGUGGUGCGCGGGGGACCGACGGUGACUGGAUGGGUGGGGUGGGGAGGAUGAGAGAGGGAAGGAGAGUACUAGGGGGACCGAUGUGGGGCGGGAAGGAUGAGAGAGGGAAGGAGAUCGACUGAGACUGAGAGAAUGAGAGAGGGUGGGGCGGUGAAGAUGAGAUUGAGGAGGAGUGAGAGAGAGAAAUAAAACAAACGUCUGAAAUGAAAAGGCAGAAGGUGAAAGGUUUUUAUUUUUAUCUCCGACGGAAUGUCCGUCGGACAUAUGUCUCUCGGAAAUAGUUUAAGUUCGACGAAAAGUCUCUCGAAAUUAAUGUUUUUUCGUCGAAAUUACUUUUCGCGGUGGCGCCAAACUUGGCUCCAACUGGGGAGGACUAAGUUCGACUGAAUUCCGUCCUAAUUAAUGUAUUUUCGAGGGACUUAUAUCCGACACAUUAUUCCCUCGGACAUAAUCCUAUUUUGACCGAAUUUAAUCCGUCGAUGAUACGUUAGUCGGAAAUAGGAGGCUUUCUUGUAGUGCACGUGUGUAUAUGCAGGACAACUAAUUACCCUAAGAGAUGAAUAAUCUACAGGAUUACCUGACCAAACCUUUUCAAGAGUCUUACAUUCUAUAGCUGUGCAAGGAGAACGAUUCACUAAGAAAGAAGUUGUGUUCACUGCUUUUGCCCAGAAUUCGUUGCCUAAACCUGCAUUUAAGAACAUACAUCUGGCCUUCUCUAUCAAGGUUCUGUUAUCCAUUCUGCAACUCCAUUCAGUUGCGGUGUCUUCACUACUGUACGAUGUCUAACAAUUCCUUCAUUCUUGCAGAACUCAUUGAACUCAGUCUCACAAAACUCAAGGCCAUUAUCUUCUCUUAACCCCUUAAUCUACUUUCUGGUCUACUUCUCAACCAAGAUCUUCCACUAUUUGAAAGUCACAAAAACAUCUUUCUUAUGUAUCAAAAAGUAGACCCAAUCCUUUUUAGAAUAAUCAUCAAUGAAGGUUAACAGAUAAUGUGCACCGCUACCUUUGAAAGGAAUCUGAGGAGGGCCCUAAAGGUCUAAAUGAAUAUAAUCCAAAGUUCCCUUUGUUCUAUGAACCGCAGUCUUGAAACUAACUCGUUUCUACUUCCGCCAGACACAAUACUCACGUAAGUUAAACUUUCCUAUUUUUUGUCCAGACAAAAGACCUCUUCUACUCAAACCAUCCAUGCGUUUUUCACUCAUAUGGCCUAACCUCAUAUGCCAUAACCUGGUGAUGUCAUCUGCAGUGACUAAAGAACAAAUUGUAUCUGAAUCUGUAGUUAUAAAACCAUGCAACUAAUAUAAAGUACUAAUCUUGAUUCCUUUCAUUAACACAAAAGAUCCUCUACUAAUCUUUAUAUCUCCACCUUCAGCUGUGUACUUACACCUGUUUUCAUAUAGUGUACCCAAAGAUAUGAGAUUCUUCUUCAAACAUGGAACAUGUCUAACAUCUGACAAUGUCCUGAUUAUGCCUUCACGCAUCUUAAUUUUAAUUGUACCAAUACCAAUUGCUUUACAUUUAGAAUUUUGUCCUAUCAAAACAAUUCCACCAUCACACGACUCAUAUGUGGAUAACCAAUCACAAGUAGGACAUAUAUGAUAAGAACACCCAGAAUACAAAAUUCAAUCACUACUAAGUAUUUCUCUGUCAUCGGCUAGUAACAGAAGAUCAUUAUUAUCCUCAGCAACACUAACCUGAGCAGGCUUUCUUGCCCCCUUAUUAUGCUAAUUAUGCACAUUCUGUCCACUAUUAAUCUGACCAUGAUUGUCUCCUCUUUGUUCUUUAUUUUUUAAACUUUUUAUAUGCCCAUUUGCAUGACAGUAGUUAAUUACAACGAAAAUUCUUAUUCAAAGAUUUCGAUCUGUGUGUACGACAUCGGGUACUAAUAGAAGAUCAUUACUAUCCUCAGCAACACUAGCCUGAGCAUGCUUUCUUGCCCCCUGAUUCUAUUGAUUAUGCACAUUCUGUCCACUAUUAAUCUGACCAUGAUUGUCUCCUAUUUAUUCUUUAUUUUUUAACUUCGGACAAUUAUGCUUUAUAUGCCCCUUUGCAUGACAGUAGUUACAAUGAAAAUUCUUAUUCUAAGAUUUUGAUCUGUGUGUACAACCAUUUUUUGAAAUUCUCUCAAUUGAUCUCCCUCUGACAAAUAAUCCAACACCUUGAUCAUCACUUUUUUCAAAAGUCAUCUCAACAUCCUCAAUUGAGAUAGUGUCUCUAUCAUAGAUUAUAAUGUCUCUAAAGUGCUUAUAUGAAAAAGGAAAUGAGACUAACAACAAUAUGACUUGAUCUUCAUCAUUAAUCUUAACAUUAAUAUUCUGUAACUCAUUUACAAUUGAAUUAAACUCAGUGAUAUGAGAUUUGAUAUUAGUACCUUCUAACAUAUGCAAUGUGUAAAGACGUUGGUUAAGUUUCAAUCUAUUAGUGAGUGACUUCGUCAAAUAGAGAAUCUAAUUUCUUCCACAAAUCAGCAACUGUAGUUUCCACUAACACCUCCUGCAACACAAUAUUCUAGAGGCACCAUUGAAUUGCCAAACAUGCUUUUUCAUCCAUAGUUUCUCAUUCUAACUUAGGCAUCUUACUAGCUUUUUUCGUCUCCCAAUCCGUAUCAGAGAUAUCUAUAGGCUUCAGUAUUGGCUUCCCUACAAUAGUUGUCUUCAAGCCUUGCUGAGUAAGAAUAGCAUUCAUCCAAACCUACCAAAGACUGAAACUAAUACUCACAUCGAAUUUGUCAAUAUCAAAUUUCAUUGAUGAAGUCGAACUCAACGCCAUAGUACAGAUCGAUAAUAACCACGCUUUUAUACCAUUUUGUUAUGACAAAUUUUGAUAAAUACAAUAAAUCAACGCAGAAAGAUAAAGACAAUAACACAAGAUUUUACGUGAAAACCCAAAUCUAGAAAAAAUUACGGAGAAGACAGAAGAAAUCCAAUAAUAAAUAUCUGAAAAAUAUAAGAUAAAGAGAAAACUACGAGAAUUCUUAGAAUACUCCUAAAUGUCUCUUCUCCAAAAACUUAGCACCUAUAUUUAUAAACCAUAAGAAAAUUUCAUAACUAAAUAACAUAAGAAAUACUAAAUUUAGUAUAACUAGGAAAAUUAACUUUCUUAAAGCAAAACAAAUUUAAACCAAUACCUAAAUUCAAAUUCAAUAAAAAUUCAUGUUAUACCCAACAGUAACAUAAAACAACAUAAUAUUUUGAAUUUUAUUAUAAUAAAUUUAUAAUAUGUCAUCACUUUUGGGAUGGGUAAAAUACAAAGUCGACCACUGAACUUUAGAGGUUUUUUUGGUAUUGAGCCCUUUUCUUUUGGUCAACGCAAAUUGAGUCACUUUCUAUUAAAAAAAUUUGAUUUCGAGACCCAGGCACCACAUGUGCGUUGACCUGCGUACGUGGCGCCUACGUGGGCAUUUUUUAUUUUAUUUUACACGUGUACGACGUGACGAAUAUUGAACUUUAUCCCAAAAAAUAUGUUGCUGCAAAUAUUUUAACUCAGUAAUAAUAGUAAUAAUAAUAGUAAUAGUAAUAAUAGUAAUAAUAAUACUAAUAGUAAUAAUAAUAAUAAUAACAUUAAUAAUAAUAGUAAUAAUAAGCCCGCAUAAUUACCUUCCUUAUUAUGAAACACCUUUUCUAUAAUGUCUGUCUGAUGUAAGAUGGAUGGUUCCACCAUUAUAAAAUUCCUUGGUUUCUAAGGCUUCAAUUUUACAAUGUUAAGUCAUGUCUGAGUUGCAAUUUAUUUGGAAUUUUAAUUGUGUUUAACUUAACAUGUUUAUUAUUAUUAUUAUUAUUAUUGUUGUUGUUGUUGUUGUUGUUGUUAUUAUUAUUAAUAUUAUUAUUACUAUUACUACUGUUAUUGUUAUUAUUAUUAUUAUUAUUAUUAUUAUUAUUAUUAUUAUUAUUAUUAUUAUUAUUAUUAUUAUUAUUAUUAUUAUUAUUAUUAUUGUUAUUGUUGUUGUUGUUGUUGUUGUUGUUAUUAUUAUUAUUAUUAUUAUUAUUAUUAUUAUUAUUAUUAUUAUUAUUAUUAUUAUUAUUAUUAUUAUUAUUGUCACACAAUUAAUUAUGUACAUUUAUGUAUGUACAUAACAGAUCUAAAGAAAGAAGAUUUAUUUUAAUUUGGGAGAAAUGAUUUGUUUAGUUAUAAAUAUUAAUAUUUGCAAAAUAAUAACAAUUAGGCAUGUGUACUCGGGUGAUCAUUGGAUCAAAGUUUCAAGUUGGAGAUCUUGAGUUUGAAUCUGUGCAGACUUUGCAUUUUACCCCUUUUGGGAUAGGUAUGCUUCUUUGAAACAAGAAAUCGACGCUGAUUUAAUAUGCGUGGCAGCCAUGGUGGCGUGGAGCAUCUGGAAUGGAAGAAAUGAGGUUGUUCAUAGAAGUAAGGUUGUCCAUCCUGCUAUAGGUGUGUUGGAGUGUGAUUAUUUGGGUAGUGAGAGUCCUUAUUAAAGUAAGAUUGUAUUUCUUUAUUUGGUGGGAUAAGAAGGUUUAAUUUGGGAAGGAAUCUAUUAGCCAUUAAUUACCGUUAUAAGGUGAUUCUGAAAAGGACUCCUACUCCUAUCUAUAAAUACAGCAAUAAGCAAGGGAUUGAAGGAGGAAGGGCACAAGAGAUACAACACAAAUACACAAUUUGUACUCCCAAUAUUAUUAUAGUGGAUUACUCUCUCUCUCCGUGGUUUUUCCCUAAUUGGGUUUCCACGUAAAUUCUUGUGUUCAUACUAUAUAUUUCUUUAUUUAUGUUUAUGCGAGUGUAUUUCGUGAGUUUGAUUUCACAACAAUUACUCCAUCAACCGUUGGCGCUAUUUUGACCUGUUGUUUUGGUGAUUUGAUUAGGCGUACAAAAUCAGGAAUUAACAAGGUGUGAAUAAAAUUUAUGACUUUCUCUUUUUCUUCUUCUUCUUUUUAUUUAUUUAUUUUAUUUAAAGCGCCUAAUGUGUCUGGAGUCUGGACCAAUAAGGUUUGUUCAUUGGCGUUGGACCAAAACUCCCAUUGAGAAUUGUGAUGCCUCGUUUCGAGGUAAUUGCUUUGUAGGUAUUGGGUUUGUGGUUCGAAAUAAUAUGAGAAAAGUUAUGGGAGCUAGUUUUGAUAGAGUUAACGGAACAUAAAAUAAUAUUUUCACAAUAAAAUUAUCACUAUAAAUUUUAUAACGACAAUUUUUUAUUGUCAUUAUACAUAUGUAGAGAUUAUCAGUUUUUCUUAAUGGUAAUAUGGGGUAGAUUGUGCAGACAAUGGCAGUUAGGAAUGCCUCAAUAAUAAAAGAGUUAUUAAGUGAUUAUCUUCAGCUCAGUCUAAUAGUUCUUAUCUAAAUGAUAUUAUUAGAAUAUAGCAGUGUUCAGUGUUCACCGCAAGGGAAAUAGAAUUGUUCAUAGUUUAGCAGAGCUUGCGCAAUCGAUGGAGAUUAAUAUCCCAACUUAUUGGACAGAAAUUUUGGUUGACUGUUUCUUCAACAAAAAAAAAAACUCUUAGAAUAAACAUGUCAGGCGCUGGUGUCUGUGUUUAGCAACGUUGGCGCAAGGAAAAUGGAGUUGUUCAUAGUUUAGCGCAGUUUGCGCAGUCGAUGAAUAUUAAUAAUAUUUUUAGUCGGUUGACUGUUUCUUCAACCAAAAAAAAAACAAUUAGAAUAAACAUGUCAGGCGCUGGCGUCUGUGCUUUGAGUUCAAUUAAAUAAUAAAAUAUGUUUAAUUGAAAAAUAAUCAAUUCCCAUGCAACGUUCCGUCGCCUGUGUGAUUCUCUGUAUUCCCUACAUGGCGUUUUCCAUAGCCCAUAUGUAUUUCAAUAUUGCACGUUUAUACAUUCAGUCUGGCUGGCUGUGUGCUUAUAUUGUUUUAAAAUCUUGUUGAAUAAAUGCAUAUUACUCACAAUUGAAAAUUGUUACAAAUUCUUAUUUAUACCUCACGUAUCAUUGAAUUGGUGGCAGUAUAUAUUUAUUAAUAAGUACCGUCUCUAAAUUGUUUGUCAUUAAAAAUUAUAUUGGUAUUGUUGAAUGUUGAACUAGCCUAGUCCAAGAUAUUUUAAUUGUAAAAUAAAUUAAAAAGAAUGAAAAGGAUAAGUUUUUCGUAACUUUAUAUUAAUUUAUGUAAACAACCCAAGCUAUUUUCCACCGUCUAUUAUACUUGCCAUAAGGCUAUAUUUAUUUGUAAAAAAUAUGUUUGAAAUUAUAUUAUUUAUCUUAAUUUAAUACUAUUUUAAAUUAUUUUAUCUCAUGAUGGAGAAUGUGUGAUUAAUACUCCUUUAAAUAGUCAUAUGUAUUAUUUAAUUUUUUGUCAUUUCUAAGGCUAUUUAUGAAAAAUUAUAUAAUCUGGUGAUGAAUGUGUGAUUAAUAGUAUACUUCACUUUAAACUGCCAAAGACUUUAUGGAACUAAUAGUCUCACUUUAAGGGACUAAUAGUACCUUAUCAAAUGAUUAAAUAGAAUAGUUCGAAAUAGUGUUAAAUUAAGAUAAAUAGUUCACUCUCACGUAUUCGGUUACCAAGAAAUUAAUUUCAUGGUAAGUUGGUCAAUUGACCAAUACAGUGAUAACACACAGAGAGAAAGAUUUCAUGGUAAGUUAAUCAAUUGACCAAAACUAAUUUCAUACUAACCACUUAACCAAAAUUAAUUUUAUACUAAACCAAUUUCUAAAUAUUCUUUUUGCAAACAAACAUCACCUAAAAGUUUUUAGAGCUCUAUGACUAUUGACUAAGCUGAUGGAGGUCAUUUUCAAACGUGAAAUAAUUUUUCUUAACGUAAAUCAACAGUUGAUAUUGUUAAAAUAAUAAUAAAAUAAAUUUAUAUUUAGCCGCACUUUAUGUAAUUAUUGUUCUAAUGAAAUUUUAAACUUUUUAGCAAUACUUAAUUACUUUGACACCAUCAAUAGCCUACUCAUUACGGACAGAUAAUAAUAUUUGUUACUGGGGGUAUUACUAAAAGUAAUAUUUAUUUGCUAACCAUAUGUCAAAAGAAAUUAAAUAAGUAAUACUAUAAAUCGUUUAAUGUAAUUUUGUAAGUGUAAAAUAUAUUGUUUUCAUAGAAAAUUUUGAAAGCGGUUAAGUUCAAAUGCCUCUUUUUUAAUAGUUUAUAGUUUCCCAAAAACAUAAAAUGUAAAUAAAGAAAUGACUGCCGUAAAUGAAAGAAUCCUUAAGUUUAAAAAAUUGAUUACUCUCACCGUCCUCAAAAAUUGGCUUAGUUUAAUUUUUUUGAUCAAUUUUAGAAUUAAGAGUUAAACAUAGUUAUAUUUAUUUUUAAAGUUAUGAAAAUUGGAGGUGAUAGUAAAUUCGAUAUAGUUUUUUUAUGUUUAUAGUUUCUCCAUCUAUAUUUACAAGAAAAUAAUAUAAAUUUUGAUUACAAAGUUGGUCAAUUUGACAAAAAAGAAAAGGUAUUAAACCAAUUUUUACAUAACGGAGAGAGUAUUUUAUCUGUCUCAAAAUUAGAUAUAUAAUUUGACUUUUGAGGUUAAAUGACAUAUUAAAUUUCAAAAUCGGCAUAACUCAUAAAAAUUUGGAAUGAAAUAAAUUAUUUAAUUUAUAGUUUUUUUAUAUACUAUACAAUUAUAAUAAUUAUAUCAACUAAAAUUAAAUACAUUCAUAUAUUUGAAGUUUAAUAUGUCGUUAUUUGACCUCAAAAAUUAAAUUAUAUUUCUAAUUUUUGAGCAAAGGGACUAUUUUAUAACUGAUAAUCGAAAGUGAUUAAAUUUUAUUUAAUUAUUUUUAACUUAUGCACAAUCAUUGAUAUAUUUUUUUAUCUUUUUAUGUAGACCUCCUCUUCUCGUAAAAAACAAAAAUAAAACAAUAAAAAAAAUACUCUCGUUGUUCAAAUGAUCUAUGAAGUAUAGAAAAAAUUGUCCCUAAAAUAUGUCUAAAUGACAAUAUUUAAAUUCAAAAAUAUUAAUUAUAUAUAUGAAAAUUAUUUUACUUUUAACAAUACUUAAAUAAAAUUCAUUACUUUUAGAAACAAUAAGAAUUAAUUGCGUUAUACCUUGAUAUAAUUCUUGAUGAAGAGUUAGCUAUUUUAUUACGUUACAAUUAACUUAAUCUUUAUUGUGAAUUUAAUAUUAUUAUUUUAACUAUUUUCUUUAAGGUGGAACCAGUGUAUUUUCUUUCUUUAUAUUAAGUUGAAAAAUGGUGUUCGUACUAUCGUAAGUUCUAAUAAAAAAAAGUUAUUUUCUAGUUGAACAGAUCUCUUUAUAUUAAGUUGAAAAAUGGUGUCCUGAAGUUAAUCUUUUCAAAAUAUAAACAAUAUCUUCCUUUCUUAAGUCUCUGUCAGGAAUCCUUACUGAAUUUAUUUUAUGGUAUUUAUUUGACUUGUUCAACAAUACUUCUGAAUCAGGGACGGAGCCAGUAUUUGUUCUUUGGGGGGACCAAAAAAAAUUUUAACAUCAUAAAAUAUAUUCAUCACUAAAAAAUAAAAUUUCACUAUUAUAAAACAUAUUUUUACUAAAACAAAAAUAAUAUAGUAAUAGAAUUUGCUUUGACAAAGAUAAUAAAACAUAGUAAAAAAAAAAAAUCUUUUCAAACAUAUCAAAACUCGGGAGCCGUAGUCCUCAAUGUUACAACAAAAUUUUAGUAUUAAAUAGAUAAAAAAAUUGAAGUUGUCAUUUAUGUUUUUUUUAGGAAAACAAGCAUUCUAUGGCACUAAAUUUUGAUAAUUAGACAAAUUUUGUGUAUUUUAUUCAGACAAAACUUUUGUUAGUUAUAUAUUUAACUAGUAGUGUUAGAUAAUUAAACACUUUUUGUCUAGUUAUACUAUAAGAGUUUUUCAAUGAAUUGAGAUUGCUCAAGUUAUCAUUGGACGUAUUAAGUAUUUUUAUAUAUAAGAAUUGAUAUGUCAGUACUUGAUGAAUAUUUAAUUACGCAAUACGAUUAAUUAAAAUUUAUCUAAAAAAUUAGACCAAAAUUAUCUAAUAACUUGUCAUUUUCCUUCGUUCAUCCCGAAUAUAUAUAACAUUAUAAUACAUUAACUAAACGUGGAAAAUGGUGUUAAUCCAGUCAAAUUAACUCCAAAGUAAAACCAGGAGCCAAGGCAGACUAUUCAGGAGCCAAGGCAGACUAUUCAAAGUGGGCAAGAAAAAAAGAAAAAAUUGUUAGUUUUCAAAUGAAUUUAUUUUCAAAAUGGAGCUCAAUUUAUAUAUAAAGAAUUCAAGAAAAUACUAUUGGGCUAGUGGUUCAAGACUUUAUUUAGAUAAGUUUGAUUCAAUUUGGACUUAAAAUUUGAAUUUUUUCCAUACCAAGUAUAUAAUAUUUCAAUUAUUUUAGCGGUCAAUUAUUGCUUAUAUUUGUAUAUAAAAAAUUACAUUCUCUCUCCAACUUGUUAUAUCUAAUAUCAUUUUCUUUCCUCAAUGACAAUUGAUAUAUUUUUUAAUGAAAUUGUUUUUAUCGAUCUCUCUUCCCUCUUUCUUGUGUUCUAUUUUAUAUUUUAACAUUUCACUUAUGUAAUUAAUAUUUACUAGUUGAUAGUCCGUGCAAUGUACGACUAAUUUGAAUAAUAAAUUUAAUAAUUUAUCCGACAAUCAUGUCAAAAAAAAACUCAAAGUACACAAUUCAUGUAAAAAAAAGAAUUCAAAGUACACAAUUCCUGUAAAUUUGUUGAAUUACCGUAACAUAAAAUUAAGUCAUAUUACCUUAAUAAUUACAGCAAAAAGAUAAAGAUAAUGUAUAUAUCAGACUUCAAACUCAUCCUUGCUAAGGAGUAUCUCCCCAUAAAAAAGGGUUAUAAAUGUAUUUAAUUUGUCCAAAAGAAGUUCAAGACCUAAGAGAAUUACAACAAAAAAGAAUGGCUAAAUGUGUUUACAAAAUUCACAACGCAACACAUUUUACAUCUUGAAAUUUAAACACCACAUAAAAAUACAAUAUUAUAUCUUCCAAACAUUUAAGUUGUCUAUCUCUCUCUCAAUACUACGUACAAUAGAGAUUUGUUAAAUCAAACCCCACCAUUCCAACGCUGUAUUUUUGCGUAAGCUUUUGAAGAGGAGAAAUCCGUUAAAUAAGGCUUCAAUGGACCAAAUUAAAGGUAUCAUAGGCUGAAAUUUCUCAGAAAUGCUUCAAUUAUUAAUAAGAAAAGAUGAAAUAAUUAACAAACAUUCAUGAUUAGUACACCUUUACUUGAGUAUCUAGCUUUGACCACCAACUUUGCAAAUCCUAAGGGUCAAAUUCAUUAAAUAUAACUAUGUUAGAAAUACAUAUGAAUGAGGAAAUAAAAAAAUAGAGUAAGAAUACCUGAUCCAAAACCAUUAACAAGGCUUAGUCAAAAUAUUAAGAGUCAAAAAUAUAUCCUGCAAACUGAGACAAAUUAUUACACAUAAGAUAGUAUUCAUGUAUAUUAAAAUUCUAUUACAAUGCCCCACAAUGCCAUUAAUUUUUUCAAACCUCGACGACUAAAUUUUUUUUAAGUCAACCUUGGAAUAACACACUGUAGAUCGACAACCAUGCAAAAAUAAAAAAAAAUGAAAGAGAGAGAGAGAGAGAAGAAAAUAUAAUCAAUUAAGUACCCACAAAACUCGGUUGAUGUUUCUAUGUAGACCAAAGUUUUCUUACAGUAAUAUUAUCAAAAAGUGAUGACCAAACUAUUAGCAUAAGAAACACAAUUUAAAGGCUUCCCCUGUCAGGAACCACCAGAUGACACUAUCCUUGAUAGUAGCAAGAUGCCAACAGCAGCGUGGUGAAGUUCACGUACAAUAAAAGAGAAUUGAAUUAAAAUUCUAGGGCAACUGUUAAUUGAGAUUACCUGUUUCAAAGUUUGAAUUCUAUUGAGAAUCCCAACCAUUGAUUCGGUGAAUUCCUAUGAACUGCAUUUCAGACUUAGGUUUAGAAUUAGCCAUCACCCACGGGAAAAUUUUACAAAUAAUAUGGAAAACCCCAAAUUUCAAUCUAAUAAUUUUAAAAAUACCACAAUUUUUGAGUUAAUUGGCAUUACAUUUUCCAACUUCUGCAAAUAUUGCAUCACAAUUAACAGAUUUAAUACACAAAAUUGCCUAGAAUUAAAAAUUAAUGCAAACAAAUACACAGAAAGAACAUAAAAAUAAAAAAACCAUGGUGACAGAAAGUCGCUAAUGGCUAUAUUUGGGGAAGUUAACUCUAAUUUGAUUAAGGAACAUAAAGAAGAUAUCAGAUAACAUAGAGUAGUUUUGCCUCUCUCUAUCUUUGACUCAGUUUAUGCGGUUAUAUUUGUGAAGAUAUACAAUUUGAUAGUAUAUACGACAUUUUAAAGUACUUUUUGUUUAAUUAAAGCCAAGUACAUAUAGACAUAUAUAUCAAACAAAAUAGUUUUCUAAAUAACAUCUACAAAAAGUUGUAAUGGGAGUAAAAAAUUAAUAAACCAAUUUCAUGCUUACCCCGAUCCUAAUCACUCUAUCACCUUCAUUGAAGAAUUUCAUCAAACACUUCAUAGGCAGACGACUUCACAGGUAUAAAAAUCAAUCUCCGACAAUACUUGAAGUUGAUGACAUCCAAACAAUAACUCAGAUAACCUUUGAGUUUAAAAAAAAUAGAGGACUUAAGUUAAACAUCUAAUUUACAAAAUUAGGCAAGAAAUAGUUUAGAAUCGAGUCAAUAAAUUCUAUUAGAACAUCACAACCUAGCCUUUAUACUCGCACUUUAACAAAGCAAAUUUAAAAUUGAUAGAUAGAUUAUAGAUACCUUAAUGGCUUCCAAUAUCAGAGCAGUAACCUUUGUUGUCAGUUCCUCUCGGACGAUCGAAAAUUUUCGUUACAUUAAACCAAAAAUUAUCUAUUUUGGUAUCAGCGUCAAAUUGACGACCAUCAGUUGUGCUAAGAAUUUGGACCAAAAUUUCAACACUGACAUGCAGAAAUAGGACCAAAAUUGCUUCUCAAUAUUAAAAAUGAACCUCAUAAUAUAUUCUCAGUUUCAAAUUAUGGCACUUGGAGCACUAUCAGGUUCAAAUUUGGGCUUCUAAAAUUAAUUAAUAAUCUUGUUGUUUGCUUUCGAAGUUGGUGUUUCUGAAUUAUUUAAAUUACCAACAGAUGAAAUUCUCAAAUUUCAAAAAGAUAAUUACAUUUUUAAAUAAACUACAAUGCUAAUGGAAUCUAGAUUGCCUAUUAAUUCCAUACUCAGUCCGAUUCCAAGACCAAUCUGACCAAAGAAAAUUGACAAGGUUGAAGGUGCAUUACCAUCAGCAUUAGGAUUAAAAUGUGGUCCUGUAAUAAUGUAAUUGAACCAAAAAUCACAACAUAACACCAAACAACAAUAAAAUCUAAUAUAAUUAAUCACCAAUCAAAACACAGCUAAAACCAAAACUUCAACCAAUUAAAUCUCGAAAGUAAAAAACAUAAUCAAAUCCAACCUAUUGAGAUACACCCAUUUGUGGUAUCACCAAAUUCGUGCUACACAACAACCAAAAUAUAAUUAUAAAAAUUUCAGAACUAUAUGAUUUUAAGAAAUAUAACAACAAUCAACAACUUCACACCAAGUUUACUUACAAAAUGAAACCCAUUAGGUUAAGGAGCAAGUCCAGUAACCUUUGUGAUUGCAACUGUUAGUGAAGUUUUCCCAUGACCAACAUGUCCAAUGGUAUCAACAUUCACAUGAGGCUUUCUGGAUCAGAAAAGAAAAAGAAUAAAUAAAAAAAGGAUAUAUUAUAUAAGUGGUAAUGCCAUGGUCAUGCAGAGAACAUUAUAAAUGCAUACAUCAGAAAGACAGCCAUACAUAAAGUAAUACAUACAAAUCUUACACGAAAGUUGUGAAAAUUAUUAAAUAAAUAAAUUUUUGCCUCUCAAUAAUAAUAAAAGUUGUAAUGACAUUUAACAAUGUUAUAAUGUUGAAUCUAACAUAUCUAAUGCCAAUGAAUAAUUUCGACCCCCCUUCAUAAAUUUUCUGGAUGUUCCCUGCUCAUGGUCAAAAGUAGACAGAUUAGUACUUUUAUAUUUCAAUCAACACUUAUUCAUGAUAAAACAAAUCAUUUAUUCAAAAAUGGGUUAUUAAUGUUUCACAACAUUCAUACUGCCAACUAAAGUUGGGUUUCAUUAUCGAACAGAAACAAAAAUAAAAAUAGCCCAUUAAAUUUUUUAAUUUGAAGUUCAUACUCACACCAGAAAACAUUGAACCAAGUAUCCUAUAAUUUCUCAACAACCAAACAGUUGUAACUGAAUAUAAGUGUCCAUUCCAACUUAACAUUCCAAACACUAAUUAAUUAUAAAAUAAAAAAACACAAAAUCAAACACCCAGAAAACUGAAAAGAAAAUCGCAUAAAUAGUUAAAUUUGAUUGCAUGAAUAAACUCACUUAUGUUCUUGUGAAGGUGGCCAUGGACCGCCGGGAAAACCCUAUCCUUGCAUCCUUCAAUUUGAUAUGUAAUUCCAAUUUUCUGAAAAUUUAGAAAAAUAUUUAAGGGGACGGGAUUUUGGUGAUGAGAUUUGCCAUUAAAGAGGAGAAAUUGCCGAAUCUAAGAUUAACCACCAAUUACAACCCUUUUUUAGGGUUUCUCUAUUUCUCAAAAAUCUCAAAUUAUUGCACUUUUCUAACUUUUCCAUGUCGCGACUAAGUUUAUAGUUUCUUUAAAUCCCCUAGAAUUCUUACCAUCAAACUGACGCUUAAUAGAUUCAGCCAUGGCGGCUUCAUCGGUAGCAAUUGACGGCUUCAUUCGGCAAACUCAGAUGGAAAACUAGGGUAGUGGAAGGGGAAAAAACUGAAAGUGGAAAAAAAAAAGAAGAGGAGGAGGAGUUACUUUCCCUUGAUUUUUCCAGAGAUUGAGGGUUUUUAGAGGUGUGAAAAUAGGGGUUUUAUAAGAUGAGAGGAAGGGAAGAGAUAGGGUGAGAAGAGAGGUGUGAAGAGGCGAUGAUUUAUAUGGGUGAAGCGAUAGAGGGAAAGAAGAAAAGAAUUGCUCGAGAAGAAGAGAAAGAGUCGAUCGACUAUGAAGAAGAGGAGUCAGUCGACUGAAGGAUGGACUCGUGUGAAUUUUCUAAUUGAGCGAGUAGACUCUUAAAUAUUUAAGAGUUGACUCAGUAAAUUUUGCAAUUGAAGGGUGAGUUUUGGAUCGAUCUUACUGUCUUUAUAUAUAAGGUAUUGAUUUCGAAACAAUAAAAGGAGUAACAUAAUUAAUAAAACCCGUUAUUUUUUUUAUUAUUUUUUUAGAACGAGUAACAUUUGAAGAUCCUCCUCCUUUUGUGGCUGACUACCUAGUAUUUGACCUGGAAGAGAAAUCUAUCCCUAGAUGUGUUUUGAAAAACUCUCUACGUUUGGAUUGAAGUAAUAAAUGUGGGAAUAGAAUGACUCAUUCCUAUAAAAUAAAAAAAAAUUAUGUUUGGUUGCGACUGGAAUGGAUUGAACCAUUAUUUUUUUUUACUAUUUUCGACUGAAAUUUAACAUUCUUGUCCAAUAUUUCAUGUCCAAAGCCUUAUGAGUAAUUUUUUUAUUAUUAAGUCAUGAGGGUCUUGGGGGAGGGAGAGCAUGUAAUAUCCAAAUACAACAUUAGACUAUGUUUGUUUACAAAGAUUAUACUUGGGAUAUGACUAUUAAUCUCAAGAGUCUUGUUUGUUUUUUAAUUUAGCCUUGAGAUUAUUAGUCCAAAAAUUAUAAAAUGACUUAACAUGUG